rnacentral:lncRNA from 1 species
GUACUCAUUCCCAAUUAUAAAUUCCUCAAAAGUGUGUUUUUCUCGGAUGAAAAUGUUAUUAAAGUUUUGAGGAAAAAAAGAACGUGGUUAUUUAGUUUUGAUUUGCAGAAGACUGUGUCUCCGAAACUUGCCUUCUUGAGAGACCUCGGAAUGCCCGAGGCCAGUCAUCAAAAUGGGUUUUAAUCCUCAAAAAUGUGAAUUUGUCCAUGCAAUGCAAGUAUUUUCUUCAAUUGGUCAAUCAACUCUGGAGUGCAAAUUGGAUGUCUUGAGGAGGUGGGGUUGGUCUGAUGAGGACGUUAGGUUGGCAUUUAGAAAGUGUCCCAUUUAUAUGAGUGCAUCUAAGACAAAAUUAGUCAGUGUAUUCAAUUUUUUGGUAAACAAGAUGGGUUGGCACCCUUCAGCUAUUGCCCAUGUUCCAAGUGCUUUUACGUAUAGUUUGGAGAGGAGGAUCAUCCCCCGUUGUUCAGUUAUAAGAAUUUUGCUUUCAAAGGGCUUGAUCAAUGAAGAAAAUAAAAUCUAUUUAUCUUCUCUGGUGAUAAAUUCUAACAAGCGCUUCUUGGAUACAUUCGUGGCCAAAUAUCAGGAUCAUGUGCCUCAAUUGUUGAAUAUCUUUCAUGGGAAAAUGACUAUUGGAGAACUAGGCUUAGAAUUUGAGCCAAAGUUUGUCAUGAAGAAUUGUAGCGCAUAAAUGUCAAUACUAUGAAUUCUUUUUACACUGUGCCCAAAGUUCUUCUUGGUUGUAGUUUUAGCAUAGUAGAUUCAUCACUUAUGCUUCUUUGGGUAUCCUUUUGUGCCUCAAGCUUCUUUCAUCGGAGGAAUGACAGUCAUCCAUUUUGCCUCACUCUUGGUGGACUUAAAAUGGUUUGUUUCACUCGUCUUUUCUAGGCUGGUAAUUGCUUAACUUGAUCUAGAUUUCUUCUUUUAUGAGAGAAUAAGCUUCUACAACCCUGUUUAUCCAUGCCUGAAUUUUGUUAUAGGAUGUUGCUCUUUGCCGCAACUCAAACAGAACUUGUACCUUUCAUCUUUAUCACUUUAUGAAUCAUGGGAAAUGUUUUGACGCUGACAGAUGAUACACUUUCAUGUUGUCUGUUAUGUUGGUAGUUGUUUCAUGAUCUUGUCUUUUUUUAUGGAGGAUUGAUUUUAAGAUAAACCGUUAGUGCAUGUUUGGGAGUUAGGAUUGAGUAUGAGAUUAGAUUAACUUUAAGAUUAAAUAUUUUAUCUCAUGUUUGGCUACUUUGAUUGGAUUGGAUUAGGAAGAAUUAAAUUUAAAUUUAGUCCUUAAAUCAUGGGAUUAACAAUCCUAAAUUCCUAAUUUACAAGUGGGUUUAGAAUAAGAGAAAAAAAUUUAUUCAUAUUUCUUUCAUAAAUAACACUAUUUUUUAUUUGUAACCUAAAAUUUAAUUACUUAAUUAAUUAUUUUAUUCAUGAUUUACUUGAAUUUAUUCUUUUAUAGUCUAAUUAAAUUGGUACUUUUACUCCAAUAAAAUUAACUAUUUAAUAAUUUGUUACAAUAAUUGAUUGUAUUAAAUUUAAUAAUCACCAAUGUAAUAUUAAAAAUAAUCAUGGAAAUUAAUAAUACAAGUAAAUAAUUGAUUUUAUAUAUACAUUAUUUGCUAACUUUUUGAUAAAAUAAAAUAUAUCUAAAAUAUCUGAUAAAUAUUAAUUAAAUAAUUAAAUAAUUUUAUUAAUUUUAUUAAUUUAUAUUUAUUUAUUAUAAUUAUGACUACCCAAUAACUAAUUUACUACAUAUUUAAUGCUCUUGUUAAUUACUUUUAAAUUAAUUUUAAUUAUUACUCUUAGAUAUUCAUAAAUAUUUUUUUGUAUUUAAAUAUGAUUUUACAUUGUCCAAUAUGAUAUUAUACCAAACAUAGUACAAUAUAUAAUAUAAUCAAACUUAAUCUAAUUCAAUAUGAUCAUGCGUGCCAAACGUAGCCUUAGGGGGCUGCUAGAUCACAACCUUUGGCUUUUUCGUACAGCCACAGAUCUAUAAUAUUUUUAGCCUUCUUGAAGAUUGGAAUAAAGAAGUAAAACUGCGAAUGGAUACAUAUAAUGCUGGAUAAUUUAGGAUUCCAAUUCAUUGGCUGGGGUACACAUACUAUUUAUUUUUAAUGCUUAUUUAGUAGAAUGUUGUUGCAUUUAUUUUGAACUUAGACCGAUGAUGAUUGUAGUUAUAAAAGUUGAGUGACAAAAUUCAAUCAUGGCAUUAUUCAUUAGAUUGUCCUAUCGGAAAACAAUUAGCAAAAUUAAUACAGCUUUUUUGUAUGUAGUUCUUUGCUGUUGAUACGUACUCGACCGAGAACUUGGGUGGGUUAGGCUGCCAGGUGGUGCAUCUGCGAACUUCUGUGGCUUAGACUGUUAAAGGGGGUGCGUCUGACCAGUCGGGACCCGAAAACGAAAUUAUAUGGGACCCAUAUAAUUUGCGGGUCCCAUGGCCUGCUAAACGGCCGGUCCAACGUGGUCGUCCGCCCCCACACAAGUUUCUCACUCUGAAAUACAUUGGAGUUUCUCAAAGCAGCAUAAGAUGUAAUAGUCUUUCAUCAAUGUGUUUUAUUUUAUUUAUUUUUUCCUUUGUCCAUCUAUCUGAAUAUCUGAAUGAGAAAGAAACAGUUUCUAAAUUUUGAUAGAUAUUUUGGAUCAAGUCAAAGUCCAGCCCAUCUUAGUUGUUCAGUAAUUAUUAUAAUUGGGUUUAAAUUGCGUCCCAUUCGCUGUUAUGUUUGCUCAAACCAGAUGGUGAACAAUCAAUUUUUUUUUUACUUAAAUAAGUUUUAAAAAAGAUAAGAGGGUGAGAAAAAACUUUAAAUUAAUUUUUUUGCCUCCCACCCUUUUAAAUAUUUGAACUCGGAUGAUCAGCCUAAGAAAAUUACUUAAAAACUACUUCAUGAAAAUUUUAGAAGCUGAUGGUAAACAAACGUACUUCAUAAUAUAUCUAUUAAUUACAAAAUUUUUCCAAAUUUUAUUAUACACCAUAUUACAUAAUGCCUGAAAAAAUAACAAUAAAUAAAUAGCGUGCUUCAUUUAUUUGUCAUUCAUUUCAUGACCAAGCCACUAUUCAGGGUGUCAUUUCCUUUCUAAUCAAAAGACAAUUCAAAACAAGGCGGUUGCUAUGUUACAGAAUCUGUAACAUACACACCCAAUGAGAGGAGCACACAUGUCUUGAGGGGAAGAGAAAAGCCACCAAACGAGUGUAUAUGGGAGUUGGCUAAAGCUGUUCGUUUUCUUGCUCAGAGCGGGCGGAUAUGCGCAAGUAGGAAGUUUCCUCAGCCUGAGAGUUCAAAGAAAUCAUGUCGCUUUGGGUUGCACAGGCUAUAGUAGAAAUUAUUCCUCUUUCGACCAACUUUUUUCAACCGGCUACAAACCGCUUCAAUCGAUAAAAUUAGAAUUAUAACAGUUACACGUGGUGUAAUGUUGUUGAUUUGUUUGUCAAUUUCUUUAAUGUUUGUUACAUUUUAUAUUGUAAGAUAACAAGACCCGUAAGUUAAUAGUGGGUGUAUUUAAUUCUUUUCUAUUUUGGUUUUAUUUUACUAAUAAAGGACUCAUGUAGCUUAUGGCGUCUUUGUUAUACAAGCAGGGAAAAAAAGUAAAUAACCAAAUGCAUGGUUAAAGAUUAAAUCAAUUUUUUUUUAAUCAUUCUCUUUAGGAUAUAAAUUCCAAUAAAAUAAAACUGUUUAAAAACCUCUCGACUAAGGCUCAAGGACUUAUUGCACAAGUAGCUUUAAUCUUAUUUUCUUUUAUGAGUUUGAAAGCAUAAGAUUGAUAUGAAGUUUCCAAUUUAUUGAUUGUCCCAAAUCAUUUAGAGCAAAGAAGGAUACGAUAAAGAAUGUCUAGUAUUACUGUAAGUGUAAUGAUCAAUUUUUUUUUCAAGGGUGAAAUGAUAUUUAUAUCUGAUAUUGUUUAAAAUUGAAAUAAAUUUGACAAGAAACUAUGAACAAUAGAUGAUGAAUCAGAUUUCAUGGAAUUAUAUAAAUAGUAAGGUCAGGGGUACCGUACAUCCGCCUUGGCCGUACAGCAGGUAUGUAAUAAAUUGGCCGAAUAAAUAUAAUUAUUUUAAAUAAUAUAUUUUUUAUAACUUUUUUUAAUAAAAUUAGAAUUUUGGACACUACCCCCAAUUUAUCAAGUGAUACCCAAGGCGACGGCCUGACCUCAUCCCUUGACUAGAUGUUACUUGGCCCACAUCGCGUAAGUUCUGUCCAAGUCCAGUUGCACGGAUAUUUUUGACACCCCUAAAUAAGGCUUUAAUGCAAUUAUCCAUAUUUAAUUUGGUCACUUUAUCAACUAGUAAUAAAAUUUCAGUACUUUUAUCAAAAGUACGGCCUUAUGUCCAAUGAACCCCAAUUACUAAAAUGAUCUCAAAUUUCAUCAAUGCAUUUUAUAAAAUGAACUAAAAAAAUUGAAACAAUUGAAUUUGAAUGCUUUCAAACUCAUUAACAAAAUAAUAUUGAAACAACUUGCGUAACAAAUAGGGUGCUAAGUGAGAUGAACCCUUUAUUAGUAAAAUUUUCUGUUUUCUGUGUAAAGAAAAUUUUACGAAUACAAUAAAAUUUAAAAGAGUAAUGAUAUAGCCAUAAACUUUUGUACAGACUAAUGUGGCAUGAUAAGAUUAGUUGAAUUAAAUAUCACUUGGCCCACAUGAUUUGUUUUUAUUAUUUUAUAUUUUCAUUCAACCAAUGAAUUAAUGCCACGUCAGUUUGUAUAAGAUAAGUUUGUAUAAGAGUUUGUGGUUGUAUCAUCACUCAAUUUAAAAAGAGAUUAAAAAGAAGAAAAAUAUGAUAUGAAUAUAAAUGGUAUGAGGGGCUUUCAUUUCCUUUCUAAUCAAAAGACAAUUCAAAACAAGGCGGUUGCUAUGUUACAGAAUCUGUAACAUACACACCCAAUGAGAGGAGCACACAUGUCUUGAGGGGAGAGAAAAGCCACCAAAUGAGUGUAUAUGGGAGUUGGCUAAAGCUGUUCGUUUUCUUGCUCAGAGCGGGCGGAUAUGCGCAAGUAGGAAGUUUCCUCAGCCUGAGAGUUCAAAGAAAUCAUAUCGCUUUGGGUUGCACAGGCUAUAGUAGAAAUUAUUCCUCUUUCGACCAACUUUUUUCAACCGGCUACAAACCGCUUCAAUCGAUAAAAUUAGAAUUAUAACAGUUACACGUGGUGUAAUGUUGUUGAUUUGUUUGUCAAUUUCUUUAAUGUUUGUUACAUUUUAUAUUGUAAGAUAACAAGACCCGUAAGUUAAUAGUGGGUGUAUUUAAUUCUUUUCUAUUUUGGUAUUAUUUUACUAAUAAAGGACUCAUGUAGCUUAUGGCGUCUUUGUUAUACAAGCAGGGAAAAAAAGUAAAUAACCAAAUGCAUGGUUACAGAUUAAAUCAAUUUUUUUUUAAUCAUUCUCUUUAGGAUAUAAAUUCCAAUAAAAUAAAACUGUUUAAAAACCUCUCGACUAAGGCUCAAGGACUUAUUGCACAAGUAGCUUUAAUCUUAUUUUCUUUUAUGAGUUUGAAAGCAUAAGAUUGAUAUGAAGUUUCCAAUUUAUUGAUUGUCCCAAAUCAUUUAGAGCAAAGAAGGAUACGAUAAAGAAUGUCUAGUAUUACUGUAAGUGUAAUGAUCAAUUUUUUUUUCAAGGGUGAAAUGAUAUUUAUAUCUGAUAUUGUUUAAAAUUGAAAUAAAUUUGACAAGAAACUAUGAACAAUAGAUGAUGAAUCAGAUUUCAUGGAAUUAUAUAAAUAGUAAGGUCAGGGAUGACAAAACCUGGGGUUGGGACCAAGAAUGGCAAAUCCCAGCUCCGACACGGACAUGUUUUUUGAACACCUAGGCUAGGCAUUUUGUUCGAGCUUCAAAAGCAUUGGAUUUUAUAUUUUAUAAUAUUAAGUAUGUAUAUGUUUAGAUUUAUAUAAUUUUUAAUUUUUAAUUUUUUUCAAUGAAAUUAGGCAUGAAAAUAUGAAUUUAAAUGUUCAAAAAUUUUAACGUAUGUAAUAGAUUGGCCGAAUAAAUAUAAUUAUUUUAAAUAAUAUAUUUUUUAUAAUUAUUUUAAAUAAAAUUAGAAUUUUGGACACUACCCCUAAUUUAUCAAGUGAUGCCCAAGGCUACGGCCUGACCUCAUCCGUUGACUAGAUGUUACUUGGCCCACAUCGCAUAAGUUCUGUCCAAGUCCAGUUGCACGGAUAUUUUUGACACCCCUAAAUAAGGCUUUAGUGCAAUUAUCCAUAUUUAAUUUGGUCACUUUAUCAACUAGUAAUAAAAUUUCAGUACUUUUAUCAAAAGUACGGCCUUAUGUCCAAUGAACCCCAAUUACUAAAAUGAUCUCAAAUUUCAUCAAUGCAUUUUAUAAAAUGAAAUAAAAAAAUUGAAACAAUUGAAUUUGAAUGCUUUCAAACUCAUUAACAAAAUAAUAUUGAAACAACUUGCGUAACAAAUAGGGUGCUAAGUGAGAUGAACCCUUUAUUAGUAAAAUUUUCUGUUUUCUGUGUAAAGAAAAUUUUACGAAUACAAUAAAAUUUAAAAGAGUAAUGAUAUAGCCACAAACUUUUGUACAAACUAAUGUGGCAUGAUAAGAUUAGUUGAAUUAAAUAUCACUUGGCCCACAUGAUUUGUUUUUAUUAUUUUAUAUUUUCAUUCAACCAAUGAAUUAAUGCCACGUCAGUUUGUACAAGAUAAGUUUGUACAAGAGUUUGUGGCUGUAUCAUCACUCAAUUUAAAAAGAGAUUAAAAAGAAGAAAAAUAUGAUAUGAAUAUAAAUGGUAUGAGACAAACACCGAUGCGCAAUUCCAAUAAGAAAACAAAACCAAAGGAGAUCGAGAUAAUUGAGUAAUGAAGUAACCUCAAUAAUGGUGACGCCAAUACCCUGAAAUUCCUUGUGGAUUUCAAGCUUGGAGGGUCUUGAAUUUUGUGUAACAGGUCGAGCAUAAACAAAAGUAUUGUGACCAGAAGAAACACUUGCUUUCACCAUAUACUUACCGAGGUAUCCAGUACCCCCAAAGAUAAGUUUCUUUGGUUUUGUGUUCUUACCUUUCAUUUCUUCCUUUCAUUUCAAUUUGUCUUUUCAUAUUCCCUUCCCUUUUUACACAUUUAUAUGUUGAAAAUGUGAGACUCGACAGUUCAUGCGGAUAUAAUUGCUGCAAACGAACGGAUAUAAUUGAAGAAACAAAUUUAUGAAUGCUAGAAAUAUCUAAGCAUCUAAUAAAUUUCUUUUAGACAGGUAGAAAUAUCUAGGCAAAAGUUGUUAAAAAUUAGCCACAACGAAAAAUGCUAAAUGUGUGGUCACCUAGUGUUUGUAAGGCCUAUAAAGACAUGGCCGUGUAUCCAAUUCAAGCAAUGAAGUUAAGAACAACAAAAUCUUCCACUAGUAAAAUCCUUUCCACUUCCCUUUAUCUUUGAUCAAAUAUUAUUGAUCAAAAAUAUUUUCUACUUUAAUUAUUUUAGCCCACUAUCUACCCCUGCUCCAACACCUGCCUUCUACUCCCUCAAUUUUUGGGAACCGAAUCUAAAAAUUUUUAUAUCAUUGAAUUUAAAGGGGGAAAGAUCAAAAUGGAAGAUCAGUAUGAUAAGUUUCUUUUGAAAAUGAAUUAUUUUUUCAAUAUUUCUUUGAUAAUGUAUCAUUCUCACUAUAAACUAUAUCGUGAUUAGUUAUGUUUUCUGCUUAUUAUUAUCAUUAUUUUAACAUCACAGCAUUUUUCUAUAGAGUAAAAAUAUAUAAAUGCUUAAAAAUAUGCAUGGAGUUCCAUGCAUGUUCUGUUAUUCUUUCUUUUGAUUUAUUGACACAAAACAAGGAUAAGACUAGUUUUGGAAAAUUAUCACUUUAUGAAUUAACUUCAUUUAAUAAGCAAAAUUAUCCUAUUGUGACAUCAUACCCAAACUGGGAUAAUUAGAUAGUUUUUAUUUCAUUUUCUUGAUUUUUUAAUUAUCUAAUAAUACUCAGACUGUGGGGUAUGGUACCCUUAGUUAAAUACUAACUUCAAACAGUUCACAUUCAAAUUAGUGAUACAUAUCUUACACAAGAAACAUAUUUGGUUAUGGUUAAAAAAUUAUAAAUGAUGAGGGUCUGCUUUGAAAUUUAACCAAAAAAAUUCACGUAUUGACCCACUAGAUUUACACUUUGGCCCAAUGGAAUAGAACAUCAUUCUGGUUCUGCUUGUAGUGAUUUUAUCCUUUUAUGACUUUAUAUAAAAGUAAAUAAUUUUAUUAAAAAAAUUAAAUAAAAAAUCAAAAUUCUUACUCUCAGAUAGCUUUACUAGUUCUUCCUCAGAAACGUGAACUCUUUUGAAACUCCAUCCAGUCUUUUGUUCCCAAAGGGAGAUCAAUUCAAGUUGUGAUAUAAUGCUUGCUUGCGGUCGAUAAAUCACAAUUCGAUUGCAUGUCCUUGGAUCAUUUAUCACUUUGAUUGUACAUUUAGCUAUAUCUUCCUCGUAAUUAAAGACAGCUGAUAUAGAUAAAUAGAUGAUAGAACAUCAAAAAGAUAUUCAAAAAAUGAACUUUUAGUGUAAAUUUUAUUUUAAUAUGCGUGGACUCCUGCAUUGGGAAAGUAUACGUACCUUUUGCUUCACCACUUCCAUAAACAACAACAUCAUCAUGUGAUUCAGAAGGACGAAGCAAGACAUUCACAAAGUAAGCACCACAGAGAUUUGCUGAGACAAAGGUGUAGGGAAUUUGAGCUGCUUCUAUUGCCCUUCUUACUAUUCUUUUUUUCUCCAAGCAAGCUUCAAAAGGGGGCAGAGGCCUCACCCUGUCCUCUUCACAUCCAAACUCAGAUGGAAGAAACCUCUAGCAACCAAAACAUAGUGUGUUUAAGAUUUGUUCUAUAUAAACAAAUUUGAAGCAAUGCAGCACUGAAUUGUAAAAAGACACUAAAAUGUUACGAAGACACAAAUACGAAAUUAAAGUUUGGGAUUUUAGGUAUUUUGCUAAUUAAGUAGCUCUCGUAUAUAUUUUUAUGUCUUUUAUAACUAACUACUAUUGCCUAGUUUAAAUCUACAUUUACAAAAUGCAAACGUCUACACUUAAAAGUUUCUAAUAUUUUUCAAUUAGCGCGAUUUAUUUUAUUUUUUAAAAAGAAAGAGCUUAAUCAAAUACCUUGAUGUUACCAGCAACUUUGAUGGCAUCAACAAUUUUCAGUUGAUCAAGAAACUGAGGAUAAGCUACAGUAGAUAUCACCACAUCUACUUCCUUAAGUAUAGAUACAAUUUUCUCGUGCUCGUCCAGCUCUCCCUGUUUUAAUUUCAACAGUAUUAUUACAAAUAAUAUCGAAGGGCUCCAAUUAGAUCAACACAAAAUUAAUCUCAUAAAAAGAAGUAUCAGAGGUUUGAGGUUCGAAUUUCGCGCGUGCAUUUAAAGGGGGAAAAAAAGAGGAAAAAAAAAAAGAAAAGAAACAAAACCAAAGGAGAUCGAGAUAAUUGAGUAAUGAAGUAACCUCAAUAAUGGUGACGCCAAUACCCUGAAAUUCCUUGUGGAUUUCAACCUUGGAGGUUCUUGAAUUUUGUGUAACAGGUCGAGCAUAAACAAAAGUUUUGUGACCAGAAGCAACACUUGCUUUCACCAUAUACUUACCGAGGUAUCCAGUACCCCCAAAGAUUAGUAUCUUUGGUUUUGUGUUCUCACCUUCCAUUUCUUCCUUUCACUUCAAUUUAUCUUUCAUCCUCCCUUCCCUUUUUACAUAUUUAUAUAUGAUAUCAGGAACUCACAUUUUUAGUGUUGAAAAUGUUAUACACACAGAAUCUGGUAAAUUUGUUUUCUUGAAAAAGUUGCUCCACCUAAACUAUUAUUUUUUAAUUUUCAUGAAUAAUCAAUAUUCUUAACCACAUAAAUUUUAUUGCCAUUAUUGUUCCCUGAAAAAAAAUUAUUUAAUUAUAAAUUUCAAUAGCUAAAUUUAUUAUUAAAAUAUUUGAAUUUUUUCAACCGCGAUAAAAAGAAGUCUAACCCGACCAACAAGUGCUAAAUUUUCUACAUGUUGAAAAUUUGACUUGAAUGUGGGAAAACAUUAAAGAAAAUAGGAUAAAAUAAUUGGAAUCAUAAUUCUCUCUUGAUCUGGUCUUGAUAUGAGUAAAUUCUAUUAAUACAAUUGGUGGUUAAUAAAUUAAAAAAAAAUUAAAUCUUAAUCCUACACUAAUACUAAAAUACAGGUGAUAUAAGAUCUAUAAAAGAUCAAGAGUAUUCAGAUUAAGGAUAUUAAUCCAAAUAAUUGCUCCGCAAAAGAGUGACAAUGAAAUUGCAAAAUUCUUUGACAAUUUUGUUCAUGCAAUUAAAUACCAAGUGGUGAGAGCAAAAACAAAUAAAAGGCCAAAGCCUUUUGGCUUUAGAAUUGAAAACGUGGGGCCUAUUUUGAAGAUUCUAUAAGUAAGCUUUUGGCUUUUGGACGAAGAGGAGAGGGAGCCGCCAAAGAGGAAGAAAAAAGGCAGACGCAAGGCAGAAAGGGAGAAGAAGAAUAGUGGCAGCAGUAGUAAUUUAAUUCUUCAUGACUGGUUUUAUUUAUUUUGUUGCUCUUUAUUCAAGUAUGUUUAGUUAAUUUAUUUAUAUUGAAAUUAAAGAUAAAAUCAUAUUUAAUAAAAUAAUUAUCUUUUUAUUUAAUUAAUUCCCUACACGUGUGUUUGAAUGUUUAUGAUUUUUGUUGAAAAUGUGAGACUCGACAGUUCAUGUAGGGGACUCAAUUUGUGGUGUUUCCGUGCAAUAAUGUUGUACGCUCUAGAUGUUAAAAUCAAUGGAGCUAUUUCAGCAGCUCAAAAUCCGAAAAUUGUCUCCUUAUUUCUGAGUGAUAAAUUGAUAACAUCUUUUAGUGUGAUAAAUUUAUAAUUUUUUACUUAGUAAUUUUAUCUCGGCGUCUUUGACUGUUUACACAUAAAUUGACAAAAUCAGCCAUGAUUCUUAUGUUUCUCCUUAUAAAUGGAUAAUUUAAAUUUGUGAUAAUAUAUAUUUUAUUUAUUUUUCUUUAAAUGAUAGAAUAGUAGACAAAGUUCAAAUUAAUUCCUUAUUUCCUUUAGUUUUAGGAUUCAAACUCGGAACCAACCAAAUAAUACUAUUUGAAAACUACUCUUUAGGCCGGCGACAAAUAAGUGAUAAUAAGUUUUUGGUUUAUAAACAAAAUGCCGACGUUUUCUAUGCGAAAUGAAUGGUGACUAUUGCUCUAUGCCACGAGCGAUUUUUGUGAGUAUUCAGAUUCUCACAUGAAUAUAUAAUACAAUGGUUGAUUGAUAAAAGGAUGACGGGUCUUUUGUGAGCUUUGUAGAUAUAUUUUUCUUCCAUUUGUACUAUUGAAAAAAAAGAAAAAAAGGGAUCCGAAUCUUCAAUUGAUUUUUUUAAUUGUUUUAAGGGGAAAUUAAAGCACUUACGUGGUUUUGUACAAUUUUUAUAAAUAUAUAUAGUUGUUUUAAAAAAUAGUGACAUCGUCUCUUCUUACGACAACUGUGUCUUUUAUUGUAGUGAUCGAAUUAUUUUUAUCUAGGCGUAUAUAUAAUCAUUUUGCUAAAUGAUGAAAUGUGACCAUUUUUUUCUCAUUUUUUUUCAUUUACAGUGCUGAUAUUUUCAUACCACAAUUUUUGUAAACCCUCCCCACUUCAAGAAAAUAAUUAUAAUAAAUUCACAUUAUUUUUAAGAAAACUCAAAUAAAGAAGAAGUUUGAGAAGUAAUUAAUUAAAUCUACCUUGAUUUGUUUUGUGACUUUAAUUUUUUUGUCAUAUUUGACUAAAAAGAUUGCUUUGUCAUAAUUUUGAAUUGAUUAUUUACGCUUAUAAGGUAAAAGUACCAAAAUACCAAAACAUUUACUUUAAGUUCAGAAUUUUUGAAUUUUAUACAAAAUUUAUAAUUUCUAAAAAAUGUAUCAAAACAAAUUUAUUAGAAUGAUUAUUAAGAUUUAGUUAAACUAACAAAAUAUUUUUAUGGCAUAAGACUCAUGUAAUUUAUUGGAUGUCAUGUUGUAAGUCACAAAACUAAAUACCUAGAUUGUUAGAUAUAGGAACAUUAUCACAUUAUCUUUGGAUAAUUUGGUCAUUUUAUGUAUCUUGGGUAAAACAUUGAAAUAAAAUUUAUCUUAAACCAACCUUAACAGCAAAUAUGGUUAAACAAACAUAAGUGAAAAAAAUACAUAAGAAUUAAUUGAUUAAUUGCCCAAUCUCUUUGUUUAACUCUAUUUUUUGAAAAUAAUGUGAGCUUAUUAUAACACUUCUAUCUCCCUCAAGAUUUACAUUCGGGUGACUAGCCAAAUAUAGAUGCUUGAAAACCAAAAGGCUUGGGGAAAUAAGAAAAUCUUUAUAUUUUCACUAUCUGUUUCAACAAAUUUAUACACAUGGAAUUUGGUAAAUUUGUUUUCUUGAAAAAGUUGUUUCACUUAAACCAUUAUUUUUUAAUUUUCAUCAAUAAUCAGUAUUGUUAACCACAUAAAUUUUAAUUCCAUUAUUGUUCCCUGAAAAAUAAUUGCUCGGUAAAAGCGUGAUAAUGAAAUAGCAAAAUUCUUUGACAAUUUUGUUCAUGCAAUUAAAUGCCAAAUGUUGAGGUUGGGGAUCAUUGAAGAAGUUGAAUGGUCUUUGGCCAUUAUGAAUGGUCGAUCCGCAAUUCAUUCAUGAUUUGUCAAUAAUUGCUCAUGGAAAUGGCGGAUAUUUCACCGGAUUUUGGACCGCGAGCUUAAGGCGGUCCGUCCUUACACGCCAUCUGUUGAAAAUUUCAAAAUUGAAAUUCAAAUACACAUGCAUGCAUUCAACUUUGAAGAGGUAAAUUUGAAGAUAAAUUCCUUGCAUGCAAAUUUCAAGCACACCAAUAUUGAGCUAGCGUGAUCCAAUUGCAUGUGCUAAUUAUGUUGAUCGGUGUUGACUUAUAUUGAUCGGCUUUUAUUUAUAUUAAAUUAUAUUUAAUAUUAAAUUAUAUUAAAUAGUUUAAGAUAUUAAAUUAUUUUAUAUUUUAUAUUAAAUAUAAAUCAUGAAUUGUUUUAGAACUUUUUGAAAUUAAAAAAGUUUGAUAUUAAUAUUAAAUUAUAUUUGAUUAUUAAUAUAGAUAAUUUAAUAUUUAAGGCAAAGGAUAAAUUUGUCCAAAAACAAUUACAAUUCAUUUCCCUAUUAAAUUUUAUGUCAAACCAAAUAAUAAAAUUUAAUUUCACUAUUCUCUUCCACUCCUCUCUUCUCCUUUCCCUUCCAUUCCACUCUUUUCCUCUCCUUCCCUUUCUUAAAACCAAACACCACCUUAUAGCUAUUAUCGUCGCAAGCAUAGCGGAACCCAAUCUCAUGCUCACGAUAGCACAACGUGGCUUACGGUGGCACCACGAUGUCCCCAGACUCAUAGACAAGCUUCGCAUAUCGACAGCCCGUACAGUAUAGCGGAUGCAUGUCUAAGCCUCACGAUUCCAUAACACAGCUAGGCUUAAGGCCAACUACUGGCUAUACUGACUACUUACUAUUGUUCUAGAGCGGGGAAAGUCUUCAAGAAUGCUGCUACCGAAUGAAGUUCGUCUUUCCCCCCUUUCCCUAUAAUAAAGUGCAGGCCCCCGUAGAUAGAUAUCCCAUAUAACCCCUCCUCACGUCGACUUUUUGCCGUUGAAUCCCGAAGAAAGAAUAAAAUAGACAAAAUUCCUAACAAAAAGAUAGUGAUGGUUCCUCUUUGAGGGCCCGAAGGGCAACGUACCUAAUAGAUAAAGGAUUUUUCAAACGGGAACUCAUCUUGUACCGUAACUUAAACAAUCAUCGUAGGAAGGGCCGGAAACUUGCGUUUUCUUAUGAUAGAUUGUACCAUGAUUAUCUUCUAUUUAUAUUCUCUAGUCUAUCUUUCUUCAAGUGAGAUAGUUGAGCCCGCCCCAAGCGGAACCACAUGAGUUCACCGGGGUUGAGCACGGUCCGCCAAAAUCGGCAUAGGUUAGGUGCUAUUGAUGGAACAUGGUAAGCCUAUCUUUCUUCUCCAUAUGGAAGUGCUGUGGGAUUAAAGGAGUUGGAAGAUGAGCAGGAGUAUUCUCAAUCGACACUCUUAAAAAAGAUAAUAGGUAAUAUGAUAAAGAAUAAGAACAACAAAAGCAAGUCUUUUGAGUAUAAUCCUGGUAUCUUUCUACAAUCGUCUUUGUGGCGCAGACCGAUCAAUCCCCGAAAUAAGAUCACUUAAAGGAAAGGAAUCGAAAUAAGACAGGUCUAUAUUCCUAUAGAAAGAAAAGCCCUUUCCCUCCCUGCACGAGUGAGUUGCCAAGUGCCUCCCAGGAGGGCAGUCUACCACAAGAUCUUACUCAUGAAUGUCAAGGAAGAAAAAAAAAGACAUGUAGGUUUGUAAACUAAAGCCAGAAGCCCGGGAAGAGGUGUUCUCCAUUAGUAGAAGUAAGCGGCUGAGUUAGCAAAGCCUACCCUACUAAUUUAUUGUAUAGUAGCGCCUUUUCCUUUUUGAAUAUAACUAAGGCUAGCCCGCUGGUAGUAGAAGGAAGCAGAGAUUCAGGCAGUUAGGCAUCAGUUUGAGUUCGAGAUCGAGACCCCAUAGAUAAGGUAGGUGUUAAUAGAUCAGUUCGGUCUAUGUGGCUGUCGAGUAAUCGUAGGUAAGUAGCAGCUAUCUCCGACUGAGCAGGUGUAUGGGGAAGAAAAGACAUAACCAAAAAAAUUGUGUAAAAUAAAUGAAUUUAUCCAGUUGAGGCAUGCUUGAUUGCGCAUUCCACUGACCUUUCCAUUACCGUGGGAAAGCCUCACUCUCGAUGAAACGGAUAACAAUCUGAAUAAGCGGUCGUCGUCCAGCGGUCGGUAGCUCUACUAAGCGAAUAACCGCUCGCUGCCUUUUCUUUGCGAAUAACAUGUGCGGGUAGCCCAGGAGAAGAGAAGCAAGCUACCUUCGCCUACCUCCCCGCCGCUCAUGACAAGCGAGCAGCAGACUAGGUUUCAUUAUUAUAUAGGACUUCUUUUGUGCUACCACACCUCUCUUGACCUCUCUUGCUUCUCGAGAAAGUACAAGGGUCGCCGAAGGUGAGGGAAGAGAUAUCCAAUUUGAUAUCUUAUGAUAUAUUGAGGAUGCUGCAGCAGUUUGGUUUCACUUCUAGAUAGUGUGAGUGGAUCAGGGCUUCCAAAACUUUUCUUUUUUCGGUAUGCCGCUCCGCGAGCAAGGAGUGCCACGCACGAGCGGAGCGAAAACAAAGCCGGUCAAAGAUUCCAUUGGAAAGGUAGAUGACAUUUCUGCUGUUUCGGUAAUGCCUGAACAGGGGUAGCCCAACCUUAGUCUAACUAAGUAUUCUAUCCAUACUAUGACACUGCGCAAAAGAACCAGGUAUAGUGUGAAAUGUGAUAAUAUAAAUAGGGGCGUGCCACAUUCUUGGUUUAAGUAUACUAGAACAUAUUCCAUUUUGUUGACGGUGAAUGCCUGUCGAGCCACUAGCGGAAAAAUAAUAAAAAAAGUUUCUAAAAAUAAAAAAUACUCAAAAAUAAUUGAUAAGGGGGGUUGAGCAUCCUUUGUAGAGAACUUUGCUGGCGCUACGCUAUCACGCUACAACUAGCAGCCCUUUUUUGCUAUUUUUAUCUAUUAUUAGUUAGGGCUUUUCCUUAACUAAUAGCGAGAGAGGGAGUGAAAGAGGCUGGAAAGUAUGAAGCAAGUUCUAUGCAAUUGAGCUCGACUGAAAGGAAGAUUUCUUACUUAGGCCCAGGAGAGGAGGGCUCUUAGGGAUUGGGGGAGACGAGUGGAUUAUAGAGCUAUGAGUGGAUCGAGGGUUUGUCCAUUGGGAUUGGUUUGAUAUGGUUUACGUGUUAUUGGUUCCCGGAAGAGUUAAUAUCUCCAUUAACUAAACCCUUUCUUACCCUAGGAUAGAUUCAUGAAAUGAGCAAGCAUCUAAUAUAUUUUACACCUUUUCCUAACGCCUAUGUGACUUUCCAAAGCCGUCGCUUCGUAUUUCUUGCUUAAAGCGCCGCAACUUAUACGCUUUAAAGCUGCGCUUUAAACUUGACGGCAUUUGAGCAUCCGUUUUCUUGCUCUUUGUCCUGGAGGCUCUCCGGCCGGAGAGAGGCUUGCUAUUGUAACCUUUACAAGCCAUGAUCUAAAAGUGAUUGCCCCCCAGGCGAGAAAGACUAAUCUUCAAAUUCCGCUUGAAAACGAGUCUCGUCCUUGCUUUUCUAAUAAGUUACUAUCCCCAACAGAAUUGGAACUCUAGUUGUUCAAGUUUCGUUCACCUCAUUUUCCUUCCAAUUAGUGAAAUUCUAUCUAUUUCUUUCUUGGGGAAUUGUGGUCGGCCCCGACUAGAUUACCUGGACCUGAAGAAAGACAUGCUUUCGCAAUGAAAUCUUUCUCCAGAUAAUGCCUUGAUUACAUAAAUAAUCUACUCCGCUACACCUACCCGUGGUAUAAGUGUGUUCAAACACACCACGCCAUUUUUUUCCUUUUGAGAGGGUACUUCGAGUAGUGGGUACCUUGUAGGACCUCAACCCGCCUACUUGGGUCUUGUAUGGAUAUGCAUGAAGAUCUUUAGCUAACCCCUACCUUCUCUAAAUACCCAGGUUCUGUGAUAUCAGAUCGCAAUUCUGAUUCUUUUGCCAUCACCUUCUAUUACUUGCUUGGUCGAGCAUCAAUCAACACCUGACGAUGAGGAGAGUGAUCAAUUCACCAUGUACCUGAUUCAAUACAACUAUCUAGCCCUAUUAUCGAAGCACUUCUUUAUAUAUGUCGCCAUUUGACGAUCUAUCUUUAGUAGGUCGUCUAUUCUUUCUUACCGAGAAUCGAGCGCAAGGCUUGAAGACCUUACCGCAUUCCGGCCCCAGGGUUCUCAAUUGGUCCAUUCUCUCUUCUCUUUUACCAGUGAGUGGUGAGUUACAUAUGUACCUUUAGUAGUCUGUUAUCUCAUACGCUACCCUAACUACCAUAUGUACUUUUCCUCUGCCAUCUAAUCAACCCAUUGAUUCAGCCUUGGAAGGUGGUGCGUACCAAUGGCGUUUGUUAAGUCUUUGAUGAAGUGGUUUUCUUGCCUUACGAAGCCCUUCAAACUAUACUUACACCUCAGCAGCCGUUAAUAGCAAACCUAAGCUGGUGGAUCCUUGCGCUUUAUGAAAGUAUGCUGUACUGGCCUUCCUUCCCCUAGCUGUCAGUGAGACUUAUUUUCUUUAUUUUCAAGGCUUCUCAGACUCUUGUGGAUUCGCCUCUUUCUUCCCUCGCUUGUGACCAGCUUCUCUUGUUGUUGUUCCUAGAAAAAAGUAGAAGUCAUGUGACAAGCAGUGCUUUUUCUCAGCGUGUUCGUUCGAGUCGUGGAAGCGAAGCAAGGCUCGUUAUAGUGGAAAUAUGGAAUCUUCUAGAAAAAAGUGGAACCCACGCGCCUUUUCGCUUGAAAGAGCUUUGAUCACUACUGGUUGUAAACAAACCACUGUCUUGCCUCUGCUUUCUAUCGAGGUCCGCUCUCCCCGCUCCAUUCAUGGCUUGCUGUUCCCCAAACUCUUUCUGGCAAAACCCUCCGAAUUUUUAGAGAAAAACCACGCUAAAUUUUUUCGAGAUUUUGAAACUUAUUGCACCUAACCUUUGGGCAUAUCAAAACAAGAAAAGGCACUACCUGCAGAAGAGAAAGGGAGAGGAAAAACAGUACGCAUGUCAGUCUAUUCUACAUCAAUAUUGUUCAAGCGAAAAUCAAAAUAGGAUGUCUAUAUGAUGAAUUUCUAAAUAAAAAAGAAAUAGUGAGUGAGAAAGAAGAUGUGAGUCCAAAAGGCAACAAUCAAACGCCCCUUUAUUAGUAAGGUUGCUUGCUUGUCACAUAGGUCGUCUUUGGCUCGUCUCCUUCCAUGAUACGUACCUGGUAGUAGUAGUAGCCCGGCCGUAAAUCCAACUUCAAGAAGUAAAAGAAAAUCAAGACAGAUGCCGAGAGAAACUAUUAGACUUCUUUAUUGCGUUGCGAAGAGAGAUCUACCGUUUAUCCACCAAUUUGCCCUGCUCUUUAUGAGCUAAGUGAUUGACACUAAAAAGUGUAUAGAAGAACUACUGGAACACAAUUGAGGAGAUCUAAUAAUAAAAAAAUAAAAAAUAAAAACAAAAAAAUAAAAAAUAAAAAAAGAACAAAAGGACAAAAGAGUAAAAGGCAACCAAAACAUUGGUUGCCUGUGAUGGUCAAAAGGCCAUCACGCCUCCUGGCCAUCACACUUCUCAACAUUUAUUUACGUGAUGGUCAGGAGGCCAUCACGCCUCCUGGCCAUCACGCUUCUCAACAUUUAUUUACAUUAUAAAAAAUAAAAUAAUAAUAUAAUAAUAAAUUAAAUAAGAAUCAAAAGAAUGAAGAUGAGGCAAUUGUUGCCUAUAAAAGCCGGAGUAUUGGGAAGCUGUAGGGGGAGAGCUAUUUUGAGAGCUUAAGCCUAGAGAGAAUAGAGUGCAGCUGAAGAAUUUCUUUCUUUCUUUCUUUUUUUCUUUUCUUUUCUUGUUUCCAUUUGUAUCAAUUUUCUUUGUAAUAUAUUUCAAAAAGUUUAUCAAAUAAAAAGAGUAUUGUGUUUUCUUUCAAUAUGAGUAGCUAAUUUUAUUAAGCUGAGGUGAAGGGUGAAGCUCAAUGUUUCAAACUAUUAAUUAUUAUUAUUUUCUCAAAUGAGUUUUUAAGUUUAUUUAAUUCUUUUCUAAUUAUUUUUAUAUCAUGUUAAUUUAUAAAUCUCACUGGAUUUUAUGCUAUUUUGACAUAAUGUCGACACAUUAAUAUAGUGUGGCACAUUAGGUACUUUAUUCUAUAUUUAUCCAUACAUAUAAAAUUAAAUGAUAUAAUAAUUAAUUGGUAAAAGUGAGACCAAAUAUAAAUGAGAGAGUAUUAAAAUUAUAGUUUAAAUACAGAGAGUGGAUCCUAAACCUUAGCUUAUUUUUAAAUUGAUUUCAAAUAAUUUCUUUUCCCCACAAUUAAUUUUCUUAGUUUUACUAAAUUUAAAACUCCCUGUGGUUCGACCCCAGUCUCACCGGGUUAUAUUAUAACUAGACACUCUUAUACUUGAGAGUAAUACACUUUUGAGUCGUGUCAGUAAUGAUGGACAAUUUUGUGCUGUAUGAGACAAGUUAGAACAAAGAGCACAAACCUCAUUAGCUACACUAGGAUGAUGAUUCAUUGAUUGGUUCAGAGCUAAGGCAUCUACUUUCCUAGAAGGAGUAGAUAGAGUGGCUUUCACAUCAAAAUCAUCUUCAACUUCAUAUAGACCAUUUCUAGAAACUUGAGGCGAUUUCUCUCUUUGAUGUGAAAAAUUCGACUGUUGAGAAUUCUCAGAAAGUGAAUUAAAGAAAUCCCAUGUAGCCCUUUUAUGUAGGUUAAAAAAUCUCUCACCAUUCAUAAACUCUAUCAUAUGACGAUUCGACAUGGUUAAACCGUUAUAAAAGCAUUGUAUAAGUCUCUAUUUCUCAAAACCAUGGUGGGGACACUUGAGGAGUAAAUCAUUAAAUCUUUCCCAAUACUCAUAAAAUUGCUCACCCUCUCUUUGAUAAAUAUCACGUAUCUCUCUCCUAAGGGCAUUUGUUUUAGACAUAGGAAAAAACUUGGUGAGGAACUUGUUACUUAAUUCAUCCUGCGUAGUAAUAGACCCAGCAGGAAGUGAAUUCAACCAAGCUUUCGCUUUGUCUUUUAAUGAGAAAGGGAACAUACGAAGCCUAAUUGACUCAUCAUUAAAAUUUUGAAAACGGAAUGUAGAGCAUAUGUCAAGAAAUUUAUUAAUGUGCAAAUAUGGAUCCUCUCUCUCUAACCUAUGGAAAGAUGGUAAAAGUUUAAUGACAGAGGGCGUAAGUUCAAAGUGUGUUGCUGUAGUUUGUGGCAACACAAUACAAGAUGGUUGGUUGGAUGCAAGUGGUGAAAAAUAUUCUCUAAGGGUUUUCUUUGCUUGCACUGGUGGAAGUAUUGGCAAUAGUCUAUUAGGGUCAUCUAUCACUUCUGAAGAACUAUCUCGACUACUAUCAAUUUUUAACUCUUUUUUUACCAAACGAUUUGUUAAAUCGUGUGCCCAAAUACUCAUAAACUAACUAGAUAAGGAAAGAAAAAAUAAAAUACAAUAAAAUAAAAUAAAAUAAACCAACAACAAUGAAAAUAAACGAAAUUUAAAAAUAAAAGAAAUCAAACAACCAAACAAUGAAUUUAAAGACAAAUAAAAAUAAAAAUUAAAAAUAAUAAAAAAAUUAAAUAAAAGACAACCUAAAUUAUAACUAGUGGAAGAAUCAAAUCAACCUAAAUUAAACUGACUUUCUAGCACAAUCCCCAGCAACAGUGCCAAAAACUUGUUGUGAAAAAUUUUAAUAUACUUGCAAGCGCACGAAUCUAGAAAUACAAUAGUGGUAACGAGGUCGAACCCACAUGGAUUGUUAUAAAUUAAAAAGUCUAAUUUAAAUCUAAAAUUAAUAUUAAUUCUAAUCUAAUUGAGCAAAUCGAAUUUUUAAGAGAAAUUAAACUAAUUAAACUAUGAAAACAAUUAAAGCAAAUGAGAAAUCAAUAAGACAAAAAUUAUCAAGGUUUCAGAAUCCACCACUAUUCAACUAGUAAUUAUCUAAUUAUUAAUUAAUCCCCAAUUUUAGAGUGACAACUCGAAAUCAAUCUAUGUCAUCUUAUAAAUAUAACAAUUAAGCCCAAUUAAAAUUAAUUUUGUGUAGGUUCUUUUUCUUCUUAAUAGUUUGAUAUCUAGAGAUGGCCAAUGGGCCGGGUGGCACAUGGCACAGCACGGGCACGACACGUGUCCGUACGGUAUGGCAUGACACGAGCACGUUUCGGUGGGGCACGAGGAACAGCACGGCACGCAUGUGGGCCAUGCCGAGCCUAGAAUUUUAGGCACGCGGGCCUUAAAGCACAGCACGAUUAGAGAUGAGCCAAAACACGACACGCGAAAAAGCACGUAAUAUGCACGGUUCAUUGGUGGGCUAGCACGCGGCCUGUGGGCCAUCAAUAGCACGUGGGCCAAAAUAUAUCUAAGUAAAUUUUUUUAAUAAAAAGUAAAUAUAAAAUGUUAUGAAAUUAAAGUAAAAUAUCUUGAAAUUAAAUGUUUUAAUAUAUUUUUGGGAUAUUAUCAUUUUCCCACUAAUUUUAUUUAUGAUAUUUAUUAAAUGAAUAAUGUUAUUUAUGAUAUUUAAUUUUAUUUAUGAUAUUUAUUUAAUUAUUUAUUUAUGUUUAUAAUUUAUUAAAUGAAUAAGUAAAUAACUAAAUAUCAUGAUUUUAAUAAAUAAAAUUAUAAAUAUCAUAAAUUUAUAAAUGAUAAAUAAAAAAUAAAAAUUUUAACAACAUUAAUAAUAAAAUAUUUUUCAUAUGAAAUAUUUUUCACAUUAAUGUUAAAUCAUAACUUAGUUAAUAUUUAAUAGAGAUAUGUUUCAUUUGUGAAUGAAUUAUUUUUCAUAUUUAUACACAAGAAAAAUUUAUGAACGAAAUAUUUUUAUGAUAAAUUAAAAAUUACAUUUUCAUUAAAUGAAGUUCAAGUACAAUUAUAAUUUUAGUAAUUCAAAUAAAAUUAGGUGUAAUUUGCAUCACUACAGUUAACAGUACAUCCCAGCUAGGUUGGCACCUACUGAACCAUCUAUCAUUUGCAAAUUUACAACCUUCUCACUAAUAAAAUUUGUUUCAAAAAGUUACAAGAAAAAAAAGUCUCUAGUCUUUGGAAGUGGCUUCAAUGUUCAGUACUCUGCAUAAUCUGGAUCCACUUCAUCUUGAUCAACAUCCAAACUCUCAAUUUGUUUAAUUAAAGCAUUUUGCCAAUCUUGUUGCACUCGACGUUCAACAUCUUCCCAAUCUUUCAAACACAACAAAGAGUCUAAUGUCUCUUAUGACAAUCGUGACCGACGUUCAUCUAGAAUUCUGCCACCUGUACUAAAAGUUGAUUCUGAUGCUACAGUUGAAGCUGGAGGGGUUAGUAGAUCACGGGCCAUAAUGGAUAGUAUAGGGAAAAAAGAUGUCUUACCCAUCCAAAAUUCUAAAAUAUCAAAAUUUUGCAAUUGUGAAGGAGUUGCUAAAUCUUCAAGAUUGACAUAACAAUAUCUUUGCAAUUCAUUACGAUUAGUAUCAAUACUAGAGGCAACACCCUUACCUUUGAGUAACAAAAGGUGAGCUGGAUUUUUAUAAGAAGUCGAUGCAUGUUGAACAUUAGAAUAUGUAUUGCUUGAUCCGAAUUUAUUUCGAAAAAAAUUAAAAAGUUCAUGAAUAGAGGACAUAAUUGUAUCAAAAUUUGUAUCAAGCCCGGUUUGUAAAUUUUCACUAAUACCCUCAACUAAAUGUUUUGCACCAACUUCCUUGAUUGUAGAUCCAACACUGCUGCAAAAAUAAAUAGGUGGGGAAUAUCUUUCCAAUAUUUUUUGAAUUUUUCCUCCAUGGCAUCACAAAUAUUUUUAAACAUAUUCUCUCUAAAAGUCUUAAAAGUAUAACUCAUAAUAUACAAGUGCAUUAACACUCUACAUGCAGUAGGCUCAUAAACAGUAGAACAUGCAAGAGUAGCAUCAUAAGAUACCUUUAAAAAAUCCAUAAAUUUAAAUGCAACAUUCCAAUCAUAAUCAGUGAUAUGAUCAUCUUCAUCAUUCAUUCUCUCAUUGUAAAAAUUAGAAAUUGCUUCAGAAUAGUUUUGGCAAGAAAGCAACAUCAAAUACGUAGAAUUCCAACGAACUUUCAUGUCAAUGUUGAAUUUUCUCCUUUUAGUAGGCUCAUAAACAGUAGAACAUGCAAGAGUAGCAUCAUAAGAUACCUUUAAAAAAUCCAUAAAUUUAAAUGCAACAUUCCAAUCAUAAUCAGUGAUAUGAUAAUCUUCAUCAUUCAUUCUCUCAUUGUAAAAACUAGAAAUUGCUUCAGAAUAGUUUUGGCAAGAAAGCAACAUCAAAUACGUAGAAUUCCAACGAACUUUCAUGUCAAUGUUGAAUUUUCUCCUUUUCAAUCCAAAAAUUUUUAACGUAGACAAAAAUUGUUAACGUCUUGAAGGUGCUCUAAUAUAUAAAAUGGCUGCUCUAAUUUUUUCUAAAUAAUGAUUUAUAUGAGUCAUACCAGCUUGAACAAUUAAAUUAAUAAUAUGACACACACAUCUCACAUGAAAAAAUUUUGAACCACGUGCAGGCGUGGGAGUAGAAAUUAAUCUCAUGUAUAGAGUGUGAAGUCACACAAAAAUAACCAAGCAUAUUAAUACCAGUCCAACAAUCAGAAGAAAUUGAAAUAACACCAUUAAAAUUGAUAAAAGUAUUAAUUAAAAGUUUUUUCAUGUCAUGAAAAAAUUUAGUUAAAUCACGUUUUAAUGUAUUUCUAGGCACUUUCUUAAGUUGAGGCUGAACAUACCUUUGCAGAAAAUUUAUUAGAUGUUCAUCUUCUGAAAAUGUUAAAGGUUGUUCUGCUGCAACAAUAUACCGAGCCAAUCCUUCUCGCAUGUUCUGUUGUGAAUAUCUGAAUGAUGUUUUUCCGGAAGGUCCAGAACCAUAUUGUGAGAGUUGGGUUUGUGUUGGGUCUUGUGGCGCGUGUUUUGUCUGACAAGUUUCCAUAUGUCAUCUAAGAUGUCCAGUUCCACCAUUGCUUUUGACACCUAAAGCGGAUUGACAAUAUUUGCACACUGCUUGAUCCACCAUUUCACCUUUUUUGUUUUGACGUUUUUCCAAAGUAAAACAUGACCAAACAAUUGAUGUUCUUUGUCGUUUGGAGGUAGUAGUAGGAUCAGCAGUCGAAGAAGUAGAACCACUUUGACUUACUUGAGAAGUAGGAGGCGAUCGUUUAGGUGAGACAAUAAAUAUGUUACUUGGAUCAAAUUCUGGUGCAGCAAUUUCUUCAUUUGCAACUUCCUCCCACUCUUCAACAAAAUUAAAAUUCUCAUCUAACUCGAAAUGAGAGUGAGACAUUUUAUAUAAUUAGCGUUUUGGUAAAUAAAGGCGGCUAGAAUGUAUUUGUGCGGGUGAAAAAAAAGAAAAAAAUUAUUGAGCAAGAGAAUGGAGAUUCGUGUGUUAAAUGGUGUUGAAUGAUGUUUUUCUUUUGUUUGAGAUUUCAGUAACAAAGGGAAAUUGCUGGAAUUGUAGCAAAGUUUCGAGAAGAUUGGGCAAGCAGAGACUAGAGAUGACUGAUGAGACAAGAGAGAUAACGAGGAGAUAGAGAUUGAGAAGUGAGAUAAGUUCAAAAAUAAUUUAAUCAUUUAAAUAGAAUAAAAAAGUAAAAAUAUUAACAGUCAAAAAGGGGUAAACACGCAAAGCUUCCUGCAAAGCUGCAACUACAAAGCUUCCUGCAAAGCUGCAACUACAAAGCUUCCUACAACUCUGCAAGGCUACAGCAAAAUAAAUUGUUGCAUUUAAUAAUUCAUUUGUCCGUUGGAAUUGUAAGGUGAGUAAUUGAUUUAAUUUAAAAUUUUUUUUGUUAUUAAAAAUAAGAAAUAGUUAAUUGUUGAGGGACCUGUCUAUGGUACCGAUUUUGUAACAAACAUCUCCCGUCAUCCCACCAUCCGAUUGUCUAUUGUUUAGUUUCUCACCCCACAUCCAACCACAUCCAACGGCUGAUGCUGCAGCCUGUAGCUCACAGAUUCUGUAAGCUAGUCAAGUCCAAUUGUUGAGUGCCCAUGCUGUGAAAUUGACUAGUCACCUAGUCAUAUCAACUUUAUUGUUUUUUUUAAAGACAUAUCAACUUUAUUGUUAAUUUAAUUAAUUCAGAAUUUUUUUUGUCCGUUGGGUGAGUAAUGAAAUUAAUUUAGAAUUUUUUUGUCAUUAAAAAUCAGAAAACAUUAAUUACUAAUCGGAGCCCAACUGCCCAUGCUGUACAAUUGAGUAGUCAUAUCAAUUUUAUUGUUAAUUCAAAAAUUUUUGUCCAUUGGGUGAGUAAUAAAAUUAAUUUAGAAUUUUUUUCAUUAUUUAAUAAUUAGAAAAAAUUAAUUUCUAAGUGCACCGUUGUUAUUUAUUUUUUAAAAUAAUUUUAGUAAUUAAUUUUUUUUUCAAAACAACAUAUUAAAUUAAAACAAAUUAUGGGUCAUUGUUACAAGAGAAUUAUGCAACUAUCACAAUGUUAAUAAAUCCUAUCACAAGUGUGUUGAUGAGAUAAUAUUAUAGUAGGAAUACGGGAGGAGCUUGCAUUCAUUAUGUAGAGUAUUUUAUUUCUUUGAAUUUAAAUUCUCAACUGUUGAUGAGAUAAUAUUAUAGUAGGUAUAGUGCAACUAUCACAAUGUUAAUAAAUCCUAUCACAAGUGUGUUGAUGAGAUAAUAUUAUAGUAGGAAUACGGGAGGAGCUUGCAUUCAUUAUGUAGAGUAUUUUAUUUCUUUGAAUUUAAAUUCUCAACUCAAAUUUUCAACACGGUAGUUGUCAUAUAGUGCACAUGCAGACGUGCAGAUUGCAGUGCAGCUGUGCAGUCAAUUCAAGUUUUAGGAUUUGAAAAUUGUGAAAGUUGCAACUUGCAAGCGUGUUGUAAAAUUGAGUAGUCAUGUCAAUUUUAUUGUUGCGUGACUGUAAAAUUUUAAAAUUAUGUGCAGUGUAAUCAAUUAAAAAUUUAAAAAAUUAUGAAAGUUAACCGACAAUGAUGUUUAAAUAAUAAAAAAUUGGGUUAAUUGUGCAUUUGUUUUAAUAUUUUCAUUUAUUUUUUAAAUAAUUUAAGAUCUUUUUCCUACAUGCCAACCAAGCACUUGCCUCAUGGCUCCACAAAAAUUAAGAUCUCAAGAUUUAUUCAUUCACAAAUAUUUAUAUUUCACUAAAUAUUUUUUUACUUACUCUUUUUACUCCCACCGACAAAGUAAAUAAAAUUAAUUUUUGUCUUUUUAUUACUAUCUAAUAUUAUAUAUACACGCCAUUAUGCUAUGAUGCUUCACAAUUCUUAUUCUUCUUCUUUUUCCUCUCAAACUUUCCAAUAUUUUAAAAGCCAAAAUCAUUAUGAAUCCACAACAACAUAAUAUGAAUGCAGAAGAACCUUAACACCCUCAAGAAUACAGUGUUGAUGUAGUUGGACCUCAACAAAAUGCUAGGCUAAAUCAGUCCAGAAGUCGUUCUUUAAAUGAGCUUUUUCAAAAUUUUACUACAAUAAGGGAGGAAAUAAUAGAUAAUAGUUUGCAUCAUCCUUACAAACGGAUGAUCUUGAGGUGCAACUAUUGUCAUCGAGAAGUUAUUUAUUCAGAUAGCCAUGGCACCUUGAGUUUACGUCGGCACGUGUCAAAUUGUUUAGCUCGCCACCUUAGCCGAGAUAGAAUUAACCUUGCUCGUUUCCCGUAUACAUAGUUGUGAUUAAUAAAUGUUUUUUUCGUGCUUGUUAUUCGUCAAUUGGUCGUAGUUCGCAUUUCGUAGUUGUAACUUGUAAGUUGUGACCUAUGAUUUGUUAUAUUGAUAUUUCGUAGUUAUGACUUAUUGUAAUUAUUAUUCGAGGAUUGUAUUUUUAAUUUUAAUUAAUUAUUAUUAUUAUCUAUGGAAUUAAAUUUAAUUAAAUUUAUGUAUUGUUGUGUUAUGAUUGAUUAUUGUGAAAUAAAAUAUAUAAUUGUGAAAUUGUGAUAAACUAAUAAUAAAAUGUUAAUUGCCUCUUAAUAAAAAUUAAUAUGAUUAUGAUUAUGAAUAUUAUUAUUAUUAUUAUUAUUAUGAUGUUGGUGGGCUUAAAAAAACACGCCAAGCACGUAGGCUUUUUUAGGCACGCUAAAAAAAAAAAAAGUUAGUGGGCUUUUUUUGGGCACGGCCCAUGGCACGGUACGAGCACGGCACGAGCCCGUGCUGGGCUCAACUGAAAAAAAUGUGGGCACGGCCUUGCUGGCCCACGAGCCCUUGUGGGCCGAUAGUUGCCGGCACGGCCCAUUGAACAUAUAAAGGGAAUUAAUUAAAUGAAAAAAUAAUUAUUUCAUUGAAUAGGGUUUCAUCCUUAACCUCAAUAUAAGAAAAUUAGUUGGAUAUACUUGAAUUAGGAGCAACAAAAGAAAUAAAAUCAGCCGUGGGAAGCCGAACUGCUGCAGCCAGUUUUCUCCCGAAUGGCGUCUGCUUUUUUUUUCCUUCCUCUGGCAGCUACUUUUCGUGUUCUCUUCUUUUUUCCUGGCGGCUAACCCCUAAUUCUUUUUAUACUGUAACGCCACCACAAAAUCCUCAAAUCAAAAGGAUUUUAAAAUAAGCCAAGCACAACCAACUUUAAGCCCAUGCAUGUGAAGCCCACUUGAAAUCAAUGGUCAAUGCUUUUCCAACUAUUCACGUGAGAUGCACACUUAGAAAGCCAAUUAUUCUCCUUUAAGCAUCCUUUUUCCUCUUUUCUUUUAUUCUUCACAAGCGGCAAUUAUUUCCAUAAACUCUAAUUUGUUUCCUUUUUAAACUCCCUUUCAUCAAUGGCUUCCACAAAUUGAUUUGUCCAAUUAUUAUUUCUUGUGCACUUUUCAUCCAUAAUCUCCAAUUAAUUCCCUAAUCAAUAAAAAAAAAUUAAUUAAAAAUAAUAAAUAAAAAUAACUAGCAAUUAUGUAAUUAAGGAUAAAAUAUGCAUAUAUUAUAUGCUCAUCAUUCCAUUUGGGUGUAUUGGGAUUGUGGGUUUUGUGAGUUUUUCCCACUUUUGUAAAUUCUCAUUAUUAGUAAAAUUAUCUUUCAGUUUUUGCCCGUGGACGUAGGCAUUACGCCGAACCACGUAAAUUAUUGUGUUCUAUUUUCUUUGCAUUUAUUUGUCACAUUUAUAUUUCUCCAAAAGUUACAGUCAUCGUAAUAUUGGUAAUUGUUCAACCUCGCAAUUCCGCAACACCAUCCUUACACUAUUAACAGAGAGAGAGAGAGAGAGAGAGAGAGAGAGAGAGAGAGAGAUAGUAAAGCAUCUCAAAAUGUAGAGAGCUUAAGAUUUAACUCUUUGAUAGAGAGUGCAGAGAAACAGAGUACUUACAAGUGAGUUCUUAAAAAGUUUGGGGAGUGUUCUCUUGAGUGUUCAGUUGAGAUCUAUAUUAUUUGUAGGGAUGUGAGAGAUUGUUUCCUUCAAGAGCGUUGAGAGUACUAAAUGUAUUUAAGUAUUUGGAAAAUAAGUUUUAAUUACUCAAAUUUAUACUCUAUUAAUUGUUAAUAAAAUAACUAUUCUCUCUUUGCCUCCUUGGAUGUUGGUAUCGUUGCCAAAUCAGGUUAAAGACAAGUGUUUUUAUCUUUUGUAAAUUAUCCAGUGCCUAUUGAUUGCACAUCUGCGCAUAAGUGGCAUUGAACUGCAACAAAUGACACUUUUGCACACAACACCACAUUGGAUACGUCACCGAGCAAGUUACCAGCAACUCGCAUCUUAUGAACCUAAUUUACAUGUGAAUAUAAAUGAGCGUGGCAUUGGCAUGUUACUAAAGAUAUUGUACAUAAAUCUACUAUUCUUAAUACCAACUAAAUAUUGGCCGUGUAUCAUUGUGCACAAAACUUUUAGGCAACAGCGAAGUCAGAUAACAGCGAAGUUAGAUAUUCAAUAUAGUUGGAGUUAUGUUCAAACAACAAUAUGAUUUAAAAAUUUUUAGUAAGUACUGAAAUUCUAAAUUGACUUCACUGAAAUAAUAUAAUUCAAUAAAUUCAUAAUCGUACUAAAUUAGUUUUCAUAAUCGUACUCAAUUAGCCAUAUACUUAUGGUAGCUCGAAGUUGUACAUGCUCUAAAACAUAGCGGCUACCUAAAACAAUUGUAUAAAAUUUUCGUUAUGAAAGAGACUCUAGGGUGCUGAUUUUUAUCAUCAACAAAUCCAAAAAAAAUGGCUAAUUGCCUUUUUUGACCAAACAAUAGAGAAAAAUUUGUAAACAGUCAAAUAAUAUUCUGUCAUAUGAGAGAGUAGAGGGUUAUAUUAAAUUAAAAAAUCAAUGGGACUCACUAAUGCUCCUAUCUUUGAACUCACUAUUCUACCACAAAACACCAAUAAAUUGCCUCAAUUAAAAUUUUCUCCAAACAAUGAUAGAGCAGAGAACCCCACUAAAUUAAAAUAAUUAGUAGGACCCACUAUUGGUGCCACUUUUGAACCACUGCUUUACUACAUGGCAAAACACUAGUGGUAUGUCUUACUUAAUUUUUUCUCCACAUUUAUACACUAAUAGGAAAAAUGACCUUCACUAAUGUUAAAAAAAAAAAUGAUUUGGAUCUAGCGCAGAACUGAGCUAUUCUCACCUCUUCAUAAUUGUUUUUAUACACGUGCAUGUAUAGAAUAUAUAGUUAGGAUUUAAGUAAUUUUAUAUUGUUAUCCAAAAACUACCAAACCCCCUAAAAAAAGAAGAAAAAUUGUGAUUGAAAACAUAAAGAGAUAGAGGAAUUAUUACCUAAUAGGAUUCAUAUCUUCUCAUAUUCUGGUAUCCAAUGUUUUAAAAAUCUAUAUGUGACAAUCAUCAAAAUGUAUGGUGAGGAUUUAUUUUCUCAUUAAAUAUAUUACAAGCCUCUUAAGAGAUGAACUAAUAAAAAACUCGCACUUUAUGAUUCCAUGGCUCCUAGUGGUUUUUUUCCCUCUCCAUCAAUAACUCAUCUUCUCCUCAACGAUUAAUCACUGCACACAAAAAAAGGAAAGAAAAAAUGAAGAAGGAAAGAGCAGGCAGCCAGUGCAAGAAGAAAAAUUAAAGAAGAAGAGCCUACGUUUGAGCGUGUACUUUAACAAGUACAAGUAUCCAAAGAGUUUAUUUUAAUUAAACCUAUGAAAGAAUAAAAUUCUCCUCUAUAGCAAUUUUAUUUUCAGAUGGCAGAUCGAAGGUCCAACUUUAGGAUGAUACAAACACCCAAGAACUAAUUUUAGCUGAGAGUAGCAGAUUAAUCAUACAUGAAGAGAAUUCUUAUGAUGUUGAAUCAAAUAUUGGCCAAGUAAUUAUUCACAUUCAAGAACCUAAUCAAACUACGACUUCCUACCUUCACAACUUCGGCAUUAUUUUUCUUUUGUUUUUAGAAAUUGCAAAGACUUGAUUUUGAAAGAGAUCAUAGCUGAUCAAAAGUAUUGUGCUCUGUAGAGUGAACUAGAGAACGUAAGAUUUUUGAGGGUUAGGGAAGAAAAAUAAGAGUUUAAGAGUUGUUAAAUAAAAUUCAAAUAAACAAAUCUUAGCCAUUCAUUUUGUUAAUAUCCACGUAUGAAGUAAAUCUUCAAAAAGUCAGAAAUUUCAUAUCAUCAGAGAAUUUGAAUCAGUUGGUUAUAUCUGUGAGCAAAAAUGGAUGAUUAAAUCCCCUAAGAACAUUUCCUAGAACACUAUUUCCAAUGGCAGCAUAAGCCAUGCAGGUUAAUAAAGAAAUGUAAAAUAAUGUUGUUCCACCAAUGACAUAUAAUGUCAUUUUCUUCAUCACUUCAUUUUGUGGUGGCUUUAAGGUAUCUUUCAAUUCACCAAGGAAGUAAUAGUAGUAUAUAAGUAUCAAUUGCUUAUUUAUUAAGAUGAUAUAUUGUCAUUUAUCUCCCUAACAUAUGGCCUUAAAGAAAAAUUUGAAUGCCGAAUAUACAAUAGAGAUGAGAUUUAGGAUAUUUUGUUCACCAAUAGACUGUUAUCAUUGAAUGUUCUCUAAAUUAUGAGUGUGAUAUAAACUUUGAAGUGGAUAGGUAUCACUACCGUAGAUUAUGAUGGACGAUGCCAUGGCUGGGCUUCUAAACUCAUGCCAAGCCGUUGGCAACAACGGGGGUGUGGUUGUAAAUGAACAAGAAAGUAAGGCAAGAUUGGCACGUAGGCUGCGGCGUGACAGCUAACGUAUGCUAUGAGACAAGUGUGGGGAGCGCCAGACAUUACACGCAGCCCACGCACGCCACAUCUUACAAGUGUGCAGGCGCAAAGCAUGCACACAAGCUGAGUUGGACAGAAUGCGAGAUUGCACAAGGUAGUAACGCUAAGGCAUGUAUGGGCAGCACAUAUGCUAGUAGGUAGUGGGCAUAAAAGUGUGCAAGGAAGCACGUAAAUGGGUAAUGUACAAUAGGGGUGGGCAUUCGGAUCGGGUUAACCCGAUCCAAAUCGAACCCGAAAUUUAUUUUGGGUUCGGUUUAGUUCUGGUUAACAUAUAAAAUCCGAACGGGUUGAAAAUUAUAACCUGAUCGGGUUUUAAAUUUGGUUCGGGUUGAACCCGAACCGAAUUUAAAAACUGAUCGGGUUGGACCUUAAAAAUUAAAUCUCUCUCUCACCAUUCACGCACGCCCAAUUCCAAUUUCAAGAUCCCUAAAGUAACUGCCUAAGCCUUCAAUAAUCCCCCUCUUCUCAUCUUCUUCCACAACAGCAGCACAACCCUCCUCCUAGCGCAGCCCACAGAUGUCCAGCCGACGCCCAUGCUGCGGCUCACUCACCUCACGACUAACUCACUCUCACUCCGCCGCCCGUUCGCUUUCGAUCCAGCUGUUGUCGCUUCUAUCUUUGCCAUCGCCUCCGACUGUUUCCAAUCCAUCUUUGCAACCAGUAGGUUACUUAUUAUUAUUUUACUAUUGUUAUUAAUUUAUUAUUAUUAUAAACAAUCGCCGUAUGUUCCUGGUUCAUGCUCUCGAUUGGUUUGUCAUGAAGCAAAAUGUAUUAAAUAUUAUUGAUUGAUGCAUGUCUUUCAUAGCAUAAAGUGGCUUAGAUUGGAGCUUUUCUGAAAAAAGUGAAAAAUUCAUUUAAUUAUUUAGUAUUCACGGAUAAGAAAUAGACUUCAUCUUUUUUCUAAUGCCACACGUCUGGUGAGCUUUGCCUGUGUGUUUUAGUUGGAUAAAAAUUGUUGCAAAUGUCACAUGGGAGGAGGGAAGCAUAAAAGGUUUAACUCGAAUGAACCCAAACUAUCAAACCGAACCAAUCCGAAUUGUGAACCCGAACCGAAUCGAAAUAAUUUUGGUUUGGUUCGGUUUGGGUUAGCAUUUUCAACCCGAUUGGGUUCAAUUCUUCAACCCGAACGAGUUGUAACCCAAACCGAAACCCGAACAAUCCGAACCGAAAUCUGAUUUGCCCACCCCUAAUGUGCAACACAUUACAUAGGGGCCAAACUACGCAAAGAUGAGAGGCAAGCAUUCGAAUUACACGUACAAGCUAUGUUCAAGCAAUGGCGGUCGAAUGUUAAGCAUGGUGGUUGGAGUUCUCUGAAAAUAGGUCCUAGAAACAAGCAUGAGUGGGCAGUUAUCGGUGCAACUUACAUGACAUGGCCUUAAAAUUCAUGCCUAGAAAUGUGUAGACAAGGGACGUAGGUAAUGGUGGUUACUCAUCACUUCUUUACUUCUAGGCUAUUGAGCAGUGAUUACCUUAUGAUUGGGGGAGUGAAGAUAUACUUCUUAAAAUCAUGCUUAGUGGUGCCUAGUCUUGAAGAAAAGAAAUAAGGUGGUGCAAGGGCAACAUGCCACGUCUCCUUAACAAAUGGGGGUGUUAUUUGCAACAUGUAUAUGUAGUGCAAAUGAGUGUGUGUUUUGAGGGAUUCGGAUUUUGGUAGAAUGAGUGGCCCUUGAGCAUCCAAAUCAUAGAGUUAUCUUAUAAUAUUUUCUUAUUGUGGCAGCAAAUAUUUGGGGGUUGAUACCUCUCUAAAGAAUAAUAUUGUGUGUCCUUGUUGUUUUGUUUUCUAUUCUUUGUUGUUAGUUUGACUAGUCUCUUGUGAUAAUCUCUGUUGUGGGUUCCUUUUAUUGGCAUUAUCGAGUAGUUGGCUAAAUCGAGACUUAACGCCAUCACGCGGGUUGCUACAUCUUCAGAGAAAACUCGGUGACAAUUGGUAUCUGGGUAAAGGUUGCUUUAAUUGUUGGAACAACUGGUAUUAGGGCAAAGGUUAUUUCAGUUGUUAGAACAAUUGCUAUAAGAUCAAAGGUUGUUUCAGUUGGUGGAACAAUUUGGUACCAAAGCAGCUGUUACAAAGUAAGAUUACAUUAAUGUUGGUGACAAAUGAUUUCAAGGCUUGGUUAAAAUCAUUUCGAGAAUAGCUCACUACGUGGUUUCAAGGCAUCUAUGGUGUAAGAUCUAAUUUGUGUAAUUUCGGGGGAAAUUGAUAAUAACGCAUAGAUUGUAUGACUAGCAGUGAAACCUAACAUGAUGAGAGAAUCACGAAAGGACAAGCUGUUGUGAUUGGAUGCUAUCAUAGGUAUUUUACAGCCUUACUUGGAGAGUUCGACAUAAAACAUGACAAUCAACUUAAUAGAGAUAGAAAGUGUGAAUAAAAAACUUGCUCUGAGUUUGUAAAUGAUUUUAUAGAGAAGAGAGAUGAUGCUCGUAGGCGAACGUGCUGAAAAGAAAUAAUGCUCGUAGGCAUUGCUUCACGUUCAAACGAUGGGCCUUUAAAGGUCAAGGUUUUAGAAUCUAAGGCUUAUAGUAGAACUCAAAACACUAAGAAGUUGGAGAAUUUUUAGUAAGACGUACAACAUCAUUUUUUAGCUAUUCGAGUACCAUAGACAAAGCAUGUCACUAUCACAAGCAUAUACUUAGAGGGUGAUACUAAGUUGUGGCAACGGGGUAGGCUUUAACAGGAUACUGAAGCACACAUCGAUUGGCAAUUGAAAAAUAGGACACACUUAAAGGAGAAGUAAAGGGCCAGUUUUUAUGCAGGAAUGGUAUUUGGCUUAGAGGGAAGAGCUUGAAAAAGCUAAAGCACAUCGGCUCAGUGAGAGAUUACGUUAAAGAGUUUAUUUCAUUGAUGUUGGACAUCAAGAACAUAUAAAGUGAGGGCAAGCUCUUCAAUUUUAUAUUAGUAUACACUAAUGGGCUUAAAUGAAAUUACAGAAGUAGGUUGUAAGGUACUUACCAUCGGCAAUUCCAACUGCUGAUAGCUUGGUGCAUUUUAGACCCAUGAAUAUUUAUCCUUUCGAAUAUAAGAAAUCAAAAGAUAGCAAGAAAGGCAACACUUCGUGUGAUAGUGGGAUGGAAAAUGGCAACCACAUCAAAGCCAAGUAAAGGAACUGCAAGACAAAAAGGAUUCAGGGUACUUCAUUUGCGACUGACCACAUCAGACAAAAGAUUAUCUAAAGCCUGAGAUGCUUAAUGCUUUGGUUAAGGAAACAGAAGGGGAUUCUUUGAAACUUUCAGCUGCCAAAUUAGACGCAACGCGCAUAAAUCCAUUACGACUAUUAAACAACAUGGAUGUCGAGGUGAAGGAGGUACUCGUAAAUGAAGAGAAGCUAAAAAGUGUCUUGAUGGGUAAAUCCUAAUUAGGUAGACUGAUUUGUAUAGUAAUGAUGGUUAACAGAGUAGAAAUAAGGGCAAUAAUAGACAUGGGGUGGAAUGGUGAAACAUGUAAAGGCGAAUUUGACACCACGUCUUGGACUGCAAAUUGCUAGAGCUAACAUUGACGUGAGUUUUGCUUCUAAUAAUCAAGUAGUUCUAGAGGAUAUAGUAGUAGCCAACCUAAGUAUGGGAACUUGGGCGCUGGAUGCUAGGUUUGUGAUUAUAUGAUCGACGAUAUUUGUUGUAAUUUUAGGAAUGGAGUUCUUAUACAAUUCAGAGGUACAUUUACUAUCUCACUUAUUAUGCAUUUAGAUUAGGAGCAUGAAAGAGUCGUGCACAAUCAAAUGUGAGUUUAAAAGUUUCAGUAGGUUGGGACCACCAUCCCAAACUACCAUAACUAGUGUAAAUUGAGGGAAUUUCAUGAUCAUGUCCAUAGUUAUGGAGCACCUUCAAUUUAAGAAGGGAAUUUAUGGGUAUACCAAGGUGUUCAAGAAUGUGGAAGACUUUCGGAAAAAGUAUCGGCUGUGGUAUACCAAUGUCAUUCGAGCUAAAAUGGCGGUAAAAGGGCAUAGAAGUGUGGCGAGCAUUUUAAGGCAGCAAGCAAAAAUUUAGUAAGAGUUUCAGUGAUGGCUAUUUGGUUCUUAUUGGUGCCUAUUAGAGGUAACGGCAUUGUUCCUCAUUUAUUAGUGUGAAAUUAGGUGGAGUGAGCGUCGAAUAUUUGACGAGAAAGUUCAGUAUGGUGACCUGAAGUGGAUAAAGACAUAUGUAGCCCUAGAAUCUAUGAAAACUUUUGAUGUUCUUAGCGAAAUCGAAACAAAAGUUGAGCUUUUUUGUGCAAUUUCCAAGAAAAGCAAGCGGGAGCUUUUACGAUUGACAGAUGAAGAAACUAUUAGUCUAAAAUCAUUUAAUGCAGUCCCUUGGUGAUGUUAUAGCAUCUCUGGAAUUCAAUCAAAGGAGCACAGACACACUAUGGACAUAAAGAAGCUUAAGUCUAGAACUGAUUUACUAUGGUCAUUUUGCAUUAUUGGGAUUGUGAUCUGAAGGUGGAAGAAUCCUUGCAAAUUUGAUAAAAGAGCUAAAGUUGUGUGCAUGAUUGUUUGCGGGAAGUGUUAGUAUGUGUCAUUACUUGAGGGCAAGUAAUGGUUUAAGUUUGGGGGUGUGAUAACUCUAGGAAAUGAGAGUUAUUGCAUCAAUUCUAGACUUGAAUCAAGAUAAUUUAGAGAACAAAUAAGGUGUUUUUAUUAUAUUUUGGUUACAUUUUGCAUAAACAUUCAUUUUAGUUGAGUCUUAAUAAGUUUUGCUUGAAUCAAAGUAAUUUGUGCUAAAAACAUGUGCAUAAUUGUAGGUUUUCAGAAAGUCUUAAUUCAUGAGGGGAUGUUGAGACAUUAGAUGAGCAAGAAGAGGAAAAAAGAUGGCCAUAAAAGAAGUAAAGCACAAUCGGGAAUAAUGCAGUGUUGUUACGGAUGUUAGAGCAACCAGUGCUGUAUCAAUCUGGGAGCAAUGCGGGAGAAAACUUAGGCGUGGGUCAGCCACAUAAUUGCAAUCUACUUGUUUCCUAAUUUAACGCAUGCACGCUCAUGGGCUUUUGUUUACCCUAAUUUGCAAUAUAAAAGGGAGGCGUGCACCACAUAGGAAGGCAGCAAGGGAAUUAUCAUUAGAAUAAUUACAAAGGAAAGAAGAAGAAGAUCAAAAUUGUAGUGUGCUGUUUCGGCAACAUUGAGGAAUCGUGCAGAAUUAUUUGGAUUUUUCUUUCACCGUGCUCAACUUAUAUUUAUCUUCUUCCUUUAAUUGUUUUGAUAUAUCCCGUGAUCAAUAUAUUUUUGUUUAUUUUUCUCAUUUAGAUUAUGAACUAAAUUUACUUGUAGUUGAGUGACAAACAAUCCAAUAUGUUCUUUACUGUUCUUAUAUGUUGUUAUGACAUUGUUGUAGCAUUUUACUCUAGUAGUUUUUAUGAAUAUAAUUGUUAUUUCGGUUGACCACCCAUUUAAUAGCUUCAGUUAAGAUAGAGCAGGAAAAUGACAUGUCUUAGCGGAUAUUAUUAGAGUAUUACUUGAUCUUAAGUUGAGUUUCCUGGAUUAAGUUAUCUUGAAUCCCAUAAGGGCAAUACUUGAAGUUAAGAUUUGUGACACACUAGACAUAGGUGUUCACCUUGUAGAGUGGAGAGACUAAAGGUUAUAAUGCCAUACCAUAAGUAUAUUAGCAUUUGGUCAUUGUUAAUAGAUUUAAGGGUAUGAGACUUCCAAUAUGCAUAGCUGAGGAUGCAGAUUUAUUCUGCCCAGUGCUGAAGUACUUGCUGUAACAACUGGUGCUAACUUGAUAAACAACAGUCACCCCAUAAGGAGAGUUUGAUCAUUCAAUUACUAUAAUCUCAAUUAAAACUUAGACACAUUUAACCUAGUUUAUUUCGUUACGGUAUUGUUUUAUUUAAUUCUCUCACAAUCAUAAAUUACGAUAGAAAUUACUUCACAAUUGUUUGCUUCGGUCUUAAGUUGUUUUGCACUAUUGCGAUUGCUUUAGCAUUUCGAGUAACAUCAAUCCCUGUGGAGACGAUCUUGAAUACUCAUCACUUUAUUACUUGUGUAUACUUGCACAUUGGCAUUGGUAAUAAUUGCUUAUAAAAUUAACCAACAAGUUUUUGGCGCCGUUGCCGAGGAUUGAUUGUUUAUUUUUGAAGUGUGAAGUAAAUUUUGAUAGCGCCAAAUUUGACUUGAUUCAUUCUAUUUAUUGGCAGAUCGGUACAUGCGUGCGCAAUGACAGAUAUGUGGCAUUCCAAUUCGAUCCUGAGAUUGAAAGGACUGUCAGGAGACUGCAAAGAGAACAAAGGAAUUCAAACACUGUUUCAAGCAUGAAUAAUUUACAGGAUGCGGGAAAUUUGAAUCCUCACGGGCCCUUACAACCAAUCAACAUUCAAGAAGAGCAAAAUGAACAUGCUAACGAGAGACAGGCAGGCAAUAACAAUAUUAUCUACAUGGCUGAUGACAAAGACAUAGCUAUAAAAGAUUAUGUUGUGUUAACCCCUCAAGUUGUACACCCUGGGAUCAUCAGACCUGAAGUAGAAGUUGCAAAUUUUGAGUUGAAGCCAGUGAUGUUUCAAAUGUUACAAACAGUUGGUCAAUUCAAUGGAUUGCCAAAUGAAGAUCCUCAUCUCUAUCUUAAAUUGUUCUUGGAAGUAAGUGAUACUUUCAAGAUUACUGGAGCAACACAAGAUGCCUUAAGGCUGAGGCUUUUUUCUUAUUCCUUAAGAGAUCGAGCAAGAGCAUGGUUAAAUUUGUUACCAUCUGAUUCCAUUACUAUAUGGAAUGAAUUGGCUGAUAAAUUCCUAAUGAAAUAUUUCCCACCGAAAAAAAAUGCAAAGUUGCAGAAUGAGAUUACUUUCUUCCAUCAACUUGAAAAUGAGAGUUUGUACGAGACUUGGGAAAGAUUCAAAGAAUUGCUCAGAAGGUGUCCUCAUCAUGGUAUUCCUUGUUGCAUUCAAUUGGAAACUUUCUACAAUGGGUUGAAUCCGAGUACGAGGUUAAUGGUGGAUGCUUCAGCAAAUGGAGCCCUGUUAUCCAAAUCUUACACUGAAGCUUAUGAAAUUCUGGACAGAAUUGCCAAUAAUAAUUAUUAAUGGCCUUCAGCUAGGCAACCAGCAGCAAGAGGACCAGCAUGGGUACAUAACAUAGAUGCAAUUACAGCCUUAUCAGCGCAAGUAACCUCAUUGACUAACAUGGUAAAGGCCAUGACAUCUGCUCCAACAACAGUAAAGCAAGUUGCUAAAAUUUCUUGUGUAUACUGUGGUGAAGAACAUGACUUUGAUAAUUGUCUUGGAAAUCCAGCUUCAGUAAACUAUGUGGGUAAUUUCAAUCGACAACCUCAGAACAACCCAUAUUCAAAUACUUACAACUCUGGCUGGAAACAACACCCAAAUUUCUCAUGGAGCAGUCAGAAUCGAAAUGCUCCAGCAUUAAAUGGACAAAAUAGAAACCUACAACCACCUGGUUUUCAUCAGCAGAGUCAAGGGCAAAAGCAUAUCAGUCAGGAUCCAAUCACUUCACUGGAAGUACUGAUUAAGGAGUACAUUGCAAAGAAUGAAGCAAUUGUGCAGAGUCAAGCUGUAUCCUUGAGAAACCUGGAGAACCAAAUGGGGCAACUAGCCACAACAAUGAGCAGCAAAACUCAAGAAAGCUUACCUAGCAACACAGAAGACCCUAAAAGAGAGAGCAAAGAACACUGCAAGGUAAUUAAUUUGAGAUCUGGAAAGAAUGUUGAUACCCCAGUUGAUGUGACAAAAAAUGAGAUGAAAUUCAAUUCAGCACAAAAACCACCUCAAAAUGGAAGCAUGUUACAACAAGCCCCCCACCAAGACACUGGUUACAUGAGCCAAGCUACAGCAACUGCAGAGGAAAUUCAACCAGAACAAGUUGAAAAAGAGGUUGCAACACCAGUAGCCACAGCCUACACCAAACCAAACAAACAGAGUUUGAUACCUCCUGAAGCUACCCAGCAGUUUAGACAUCCACCACCUUUCCCACAAAGGUUCCAGAAGCAAAACCAAGACAAACAGUUCAGUAAAUUCCUGGAAGUGCUGAAGCAAUUACACAUAAAUAUACCUUUUGUGGAAGCUUUGGAUCAAAUGUCAAAUUAUGUGAAAUUUCUAAAAGACAUCUUGGCACGAAAAAGAAGGCUGGGAGAGUUUGAAACUGUUGCUUUAACACAGGAAAGCAGUCAUCUGCUCCAAAGUAAGAUUCCUACAAAAGUGAAAGAUCUAGGGAGUUUUACAAUACCCUGCUCUAUAGGAACUAGGUAUGCUGGCAGAGCACUUUGUGACCUGGGAGCUAGUAUUAAUUUGAUGCCAUUGUUUGUAUUUAAGCAGCUGAGAGUAUGGGAAUGCAGACCAACAACAGUCUCUUUGCAACUAGCUGACAGAUCUCAUGCAUACACUGAAGGAAAAAUAGAGGAUGUACUGGUGAAGGUUGACAAAUUCAUCUUUCCAGUGGAAUUCAUUGUACUGGACUUUGAAGCUAAUAAAUAGGUAUCCAUUAUACUUGGAAGACAUUUUCUAACAACUGGAAAGACUCUGAUAGAUGUGUAGAAAUGAGAGCUCACCAUGAGAGUAAAUGAUCAGCAAGUCACAUUUAAUGUACUAGAGGCUAUGAGGAACCCUGAUGAAGUAGAAGAUUGCAAUUUCCUAAGUGUAGUGGAUUUUGUUGUAGCAGAAAAAAUGGACAGAUGCUGCAGUAAUGCACUCGAAAAAGUCACUACCUUUGAGGAUGUAGAAGAGGAAGAUGUUGCAGCAAUUCAGACAAAUUGGAUAGAUGAAAGCAAUUUGAUAGGCACAACAGGUUUAUUGAACACCUGAAUCUUUCAGACAGGGAAGUAAAAACAACUUUACCAUCUAUUGAAUCACCUCCUAAUCUUGAAUUAAAACUGUUACCUUCACAUUUGAAGUAUGCUUAUCUUAGUCAAAACAACAUACUCGUUAUAAUCAUUUUUUCUACUUUGGAUGCAGGUUAAAAACAUAGUUUAGUAGAUUUGCUUGGAAAAUAUAGAAGAGCAAUUGGAUGGACCAUGACAGAUAUAAAUGGGAUAAGCCCAUCAAUAUGCAUGCACAAAAUCCUGUUAGAAGAUUGCUCCAACAAUUCGGUGGAGCACCAGAGAAGGUUGAACCCUAUUAUGAAAGAAGUGGUGAAGAAGGAAAUCAUCAAAUGGUUGGAUGCUGGAAUCAUAUACCCAAUAUCAGACAGUUCAUGGGUGAGUCUAGUUCAAUGUGUUCCAAAGAAGGGAGGGAUAACAGUAAUAGCUAAUGAGAAGGAUGAACUUAUUCCUACAAGGACAGUGACUGGAUGGAGAGUAUGUAUGGAUUACAGGAAGCUCAACAAAGCCACAAGGAAAUACCAUUUCCCACUUCUAUUUAUACAUCAGAUGCUGGACAAACUUGCUGGAAAACAGUACUAUUGUUUCUUAGAUGGGUAUUCAGGCUACAACCAGAUUGCUAUAGCUCUAGAAGAUCAGGAGAAGACUACAUUUACUUGUCCUUAUGGAACAUUUGCCUUCAGAAGAAUGCCCUUUGGGUUAUGCAAUGCUCCAGUAACCUUUCAGAGAUGCAUGAUGUCUAUAUUUUCUGAUAUGGUAGAGCAGACUUUAGAAGUUUUUAUGGAUGACUUCUCAGUUUUUGGAGAAAUAUACAAUGAUUGUUUACACAACUUGGAAGAAGUCCUUAAAAGAUGUGAGAUGACCAACUUAGUACUCAAUUGGGAAAAAUGCCAUUUCAUGGUGCAAGGAGGAAUAAUGUUGGGUCACAAGGUAUCCAAGGAUGGCAUAGAGGUAGACAAAGCCAAGAUAGAGGUAAUAGAUAAACUGCCACCUCCAACUUCAGUAAAGGGUAUUAGGAGUUUUUUGGGUCAUGCUGGAUUCUACAGAAGAUUUAUUAAGGAUUUUUCCAAAGUAGCUAAACCACUAUGCUCAUUGCUGGAACAUGACGAACCUUUUCACUUUGACAAAGAUUGCCUUCAAGCAUUUGGAGAAUUAAAUAAAGCUCUGAUCACUGCUCCAGUAGUUAUAUCUCCAGACUGGACUUUACCAUUUGAACUUAUGUGUGAUGCUAGUGAUCAUUCUGUGGGAGCAGUAUUAGGGCAAAUAAAGGAUAAGGUUUUUCAUUCCAUAUACUAUGCAAGCAAAACUUUUACUCAAACUCAGAUCAAUUACACCACUACAGAGAAAGAGUUGCUAGCAGUAGUAUUUACUUUUGACAAAUUCAGAGCUUACUUGGUGGGUACUAAAGUGACUGUUUACACAGACCAUGCAGCCAUCAAAUACUUAAUUUCAAAGAAGGAUGCCAAACCAAGAUUAAUCAGAUGGAUCUUAUUGCUUCAAGAAUUUGAUCUGGAAAUUAAAGAUAGAAAGGAGACUGAGAAUCAAGUGGCAGACCACUUAUCACGGCUGGAAGCAGACACUAGUACCUUGACAAGGAGGGGCAUCACUAAAACAUUUCCUGAUGAACAGCUGUUGGCAAUACAGCAAGCAUAGAUGCUGCAGCAGUCAGGACCCCCAUGGUAUGCAGAUUUUGCUAACUACAUAGUAAGUGGGAUGCUACCAACUGAGCUGAAGUUUCAGGAGAAAAAGAAAUUUCUUCAUGAUGUCUUGGGAAAGAUUCAAAGAAUUGCUCAGAAGGUGUCCUCAUCAUGGUAUUCCUUGUUGCAUUCAAUUGGAAACUUUCUACAAUGGGUUGAAUCCGAGUACGAGGUUAAUGGUGGAUGCUUCAGCAAAUGGAGCCCUGUUAUCCAAAUCUUACACUGAAGCUUAUGAAAUUCUGGACAGAAUUGCCAAUAAUAAUUAUUAAUGGCCUUCAGCUAGGCAACCAGCAGCAAGAGGACCAGCAUGGGUACAUAACAUAGAUGCAAUUACAGCCUUAUCAGCGCAAGUAACCUCAUUGACUAACAUGGUAAAGGCCAUGACAUCUGCUCCAACAACAGUAAAGCAAGUUGCUAAAAUUUCUUGUGUAUACUGUGGUGAAGAACAUGACUUUGAUAAUUGUCUUGGAAAUCCAGCUUCAGUAAACUAUGUGGGUAAUUUCAAUCGACAACCUCAGAACAACCCAUAUUCAAAUACUUACAACUCUGGCUGGAAACAACACCCAAAUUUCUCAUGGAGCAGUCAGAAUCGAAAUGCUCCAGCAUUAAAUGGACAAAAUAGAAACCUACAACCACCUGGUUUUCAUCAGCAGAGUCAAGGGCAAAAGCAUAUCAGUCAGGAUCCAAUCACUUCACUGGAAGUACUGAUUAAGGAGUACAUUGCAAAGAAUGAAGCAAUUGUGCAGAGUCAAGCUGUAUCCUUGAGAAACCUGGAGAACCAAAUGGGGCAACUAGCCACAACAAUGAGCAGCAAAACUCAAGAAAGCUUACCUAGCAACACAGAAGACCCUAAAAGAGAGAGCAAAGAACACUGCAAGGUAAUUAAUUUGAGAUCUGGAAAGAAUGUUGAUACCCCAGUUGAUGUGACAAAAAAUGAGAUGAAAUUCAAUUCAGCACAAAAACCACCUCAAAAUGGAAGCAUGUUACAACAAGCCCCCCACCAAGACACUGGUUACAUGAGCCAAGCUACAGCAACUGCAGAGGAAAUUCAACCAGAACAAGUUGAAAAAGAGGUUGCAACACCAGUAGCCACAGCCUACACCAAACCAAACAAACAGAGUUUGAUACCUCCUGAAGCUACCCAGCAGUUUAGACAUCCACCACCUUUCCCACAAAGGUUCCAGAAGCAAAACCAAGACAAACAGUUCAGUAAAUUCCUGGAAGUGCUGAAGCAAUUACACAUAAAUAUACCUUUUGUGGAAGCUUUGGAUCAAAUGUCAAAUUAUGUGAAAUUUCUAAAAGACAUCUUGGCACGAAAAAGAAGGCUGGGAGAGUUUGAAACUGUUGCUUUAACACAGGAAAGCAGUCAUCUGCUCCAAAGUAAGAUUCCUACAAAAGUGAAAGAUCUAGGGAGUUUUACAAUACCCUGCUCUAUAGGAACUAGGUAUGCUGGCAGAGCACUUUGUGACCUGGGAGCUAGUAUUAAUUUGAUGCCAUUGUUUGUAUUUAAGCAGCUGAGAGUAUGGGAAUGCAGACCAACAACAGUCUCUUUGCAACUAGCUGACAGAUCUCAUGCAUACACUGAAGGAAAAAUAGAGGAUGUACUGGUGAAGGUUGACAAAUUCAUCUUUCCAGUGGAAUUCAUUGUACUGGACUUUGAAGCUAAUAAAUAGGUAUCCAUUAUACUUGGAAGACAUUUUCUAACAACUGGAAAGACUCUGAUAGAUGUGUAGAAAUGAGAGCUCACCAUGAGAGUAAAUGAUCAGCAAGUCACAUUUAAUGUACUAGAGGCUAUGAGGAACCCUGAUGAAGUAGAAGAUUGCAAUUUCCUAAGUGUAGUGGAUUUUGUUGUAGCAGAAAAAAUGGACAGAUGCUGCAGUAAUGCACUCGAAAAAGUCACUACCUUUGAGGAUGUAGAAGAGGAAGAUGUUGCAGCAAUUCAGACAAAUUGGAUAGAUGAAAGCAAUUUGAUAGGCACAACAGGUUUAUUGAACACCUGAAUCUUUCAGACAGGGAAGUAAAAACAACUUUACCAUCUAUUGAAUCACCUCCUAAUCUUGAAUUAAAACUGUUACCUUCACAUUUGAAGUAUGCUUAUCUUAGUCAAAACAACAUACUCGUUAUAAUCAUUUUUUCUACUUUGGAUGCAGGUUAAAAACAUAGUUUAGUAGAUUUGCUUGGAAAAUAUAGAAGAGCAAUUGGAUGGACCAUGACAGAUAUAAAUGGGAUAAGCCCAUCAAUAUGCAUGCACAAAAUCCUGUUAGAAGAUUGCUCCAACAAUUCGGUGGAGCACCAGAGAAGGUUGAACCCUAUUAUGAAAGAAGUGGUGAAGAAGGAAAUCAUCAAAUGGUUGGAUGCUGGAAUCAUAUACCCAAUAUCAGACAGUUCAUGGGUGAGUCUAGUUCAAUGUGUUCCAAAGAAGGGAGGGAUAACAGUAAUAGCUAAUGAGAAGGAUGAACUUAUUCCUACAAGGACAGUGACUGGAUGGAGAGUAUGUAUGGAUUACAGGAAGCUCAACAAAGCCACAAGGAAAUACCAUUUCCCACUUCUAUUUAUACAUCAGAUGCUGGACAAACUUGCUGGAAAACAGUACUAUUGUUUCUUAGAUGGGUAUUCAGGCUACAACCAGAUUGCUAUAGCUCUAGAAGAUCAGGAGAAGACUACAUUUACUUGUCCUUAUGGAACAUUUGCCUUCAGAAGAAUGCCCUUUGGGUUAUGCAAUGCUCCAGUAACCUUUCAGAGAUGCAUGAUGUCUAUAUUUUCUGAUAUGGUAGAGCAGACUUUAGAAGUUUUUAUGGAUGACUUCUCAGUUUUUGGAGAAAUAUACAAUGAUUGUUUACACAACUUGGAAGAAGUCCUUAAAAGAUGUGAGAUGACCAACUUAGUACUCAAUCGGGAAAAGUGUCAUUUCAUGGUGCAAGAAGGAAUAGUGUUGGGUCACAAGGUAUCCAAGAAUGGCAUUGAGGUAGACAAAGCCAAGAUAGAGGUAAUAAAUAAACUGCCACCUCCAACUUCAGUAAAGGGUAUUAGGAGUUUUUUGGGUCAUGCUGGAUUCUACAGAAGAUUUAUUAAGGAUUUUUCCAAAGUAGCUAAACCACUAUGCUCAUUGCUGGAACAUGACGAACCUUUUCACUUUGACAAAGAUUGCCUUCAAGCAUUUGGAGAAUUAAAUAAAGCUCUGAUCACUGCUCCAGUAGUUAUAUCUCCAGACUGGACUUUACCAUUUGAACUUAUGUGUGAUGCUAGUGAUCAUUCUGUGGGAGCAGUAUUAGGGCAAAUAAAGGAUAAGGUUUUUCAUUCCAUAUACUAUGCAAGCAAAACUUUUACUCAAACUCAGAUCAAUUACACCACUACAGAGAAAGAGUUGCUAGCAGUAGUAUUUACUUUUGACAAAUUCAGAGCUUACUUGGUGGGUACUAAAGUGACUGUUUACACAGACCAUGCAGCCAUCAAAUACUUAAUUUCAAAGAAGGAUGCCAAACCAAGAUUAAUCAGAUGGAUCUUAUUGCUUCAAGAAUUUGAUCUGGAAAUUAAAGAUAGAAAGGAGACUGAGAAUCAAGUGGCAGACCACUUAUCACGGCUGGAAGCAGACACUAGUACCUUGACAAGGAGGGGCAUCACUAAAACAUUUCCUGAUGAACAGCUGUUGGCAAUACAGCAAGCAUAGAUGCUGCAGCAGUCAGGACCCCCAUGGUAUGCAGAUUUUGCUAACUACAUAGUAAGUGGGAUGCUACCAACUGAGCUGAAGUUUCAGGAGAAAAAGAAAUUUCUUCAUGAUGUUAGAAGUUAUCAGUGGGAUAAUCCACAUUUAUAUAAGUUAUGCUCAGAUCAAGUAAUACGAAGAUGUGCUUCCGAAGGAGAAAUACACCACAUACUAGAGUCAUGUCAUGCUGCAGCAUAUGGAGGACAUUUUGGUGGUCAUAGAAUAACUGCUAAAGUUCUGCAAUCAGGUUACUACUGGCCUACUAUUUUUAAAGAUGCUUAUCAAUUUGUUAAAUGUUGUGACAGGUGCCAAAUGAUAGGGAACAUAACUAAAAGACAUGAAAUGCCAUUGACUAACAUUCUAGAAGUGGAAUUUUUUGAUGUCUGGGGAAUAGAUUUUAUGGGACCUUUCCCACCAUCCUUUGGGAACUUAUAUAUCCUUGUUGUUGUGGAUUAUGUCUCCAAGUGGGUAGAAGUUGCAGCAUUACCUACCAAUGAUGCUAAAAUAGUGGUGGCUUUUCUACAGAAAAAUAUUUUUUCCAGGUUUGGCACUCCUAGAGCAAUUAUUAGUGAUGAGGGUACACAUUUUUGCAACAAAGUCUUUGCUGUAGCUAUGAUGAAAUAUGGAGUCAGACACAAGGUAGCAGCAGCAUAUCACCCACAAUCUAAUGGUCAGGCUGAAGUGUCCAGCAGAGAAAUUAAAAAGAUCUUAGAAAAAGUGGUGAACCUAAUGAGGAAGGAUUGGUCUUUACACUUACAUGACUCUCUAUGGGCCUAUAGAACAGCAUACAAAACUCCACUCGGCAUGUCUCCUUAUCGAAUUGUUUAUGGAAAGGCUUGUCAUUUGCCACUAGAGCUAGAGCAUAAAGCACACUGGGCACUGAAGAAAUUAAAUUGGGACAUUCAUGCUGCAGCAGAGCAAAGGAAGCUUCAACUUUGUGAGCUUGAUGAAUUACAACUAUUUUCAUAUAAAAAUGCAAGAAUCUAUAAAGAGAGGACAAAACACUAGCACGACAAACAUAUUCAACACAGGCAAUUCAACCCUGGUCAAUUAGUGGUGCUACACAAUACAAGACUAAGAUUAUUUCCGGAAAAGCUCAAGUCACGAUGGUCCGGCCCGUUUAAGCUGUUAAAAUUUUAUCCUCAUGGAGCUGUUGAUCUUCUAGAUGAACAAACAGGUCAUGAAUUCAAAGUUAAUGGACACAGGGUUAAACAUUACAUACAUCUAGCGGCCGAUUGUUCAAAUGAGGUGUUACUCCUUAAAGAACCCAGCUAUUGAACAAUGAACGAAGGUCAGGCUGAAGGACCUUAAAUCAAGCGCUCCAUGGGAGGCAACCCAUUGUGGAGACAACCAUUUCAAACCAGCUUUGAUCUCCUUUGAAUGCAGAGGUGAGCCACGUGUCAGAGGCUUUAGUGUAGAGCAUGUAACCGUUGAUAGAGUAAGCGAAUGGGUGCUGCAGCAACCAAUUUUACCGUUACAGUAAAUUAAAACAUAGAGUCUCUCACUUGCCAUUGGAGAUAAAUCAUGACAGAUGGAGGGACAUUAGCCUCAAUUUGUUACUGCUACAACAAUGGGGAGGUAUAAGAAAACAGCCAGCCGCCUCAAAGAUCCUUCACGCUUCCAGAGUUACCACGCCGAAGAAAAAUACGAGGAAUUCAUAGAGCCGCGUAAGAUUCUAGAAGAAAAAGGGUUUCAAUUUCCAGAACAACUCAUUGGAAUUGUGCAAACAAUUCACAAUGCUGCAGCAAAGCAAGGAUGGUUAGAGUUUUGCAACCACCCUCGAAAUCCUGUGCUACCAGUAGUCAAAAAAUUUUACGCCAAUUUGGUAAGCCCUGAUCAGCACAACAUUUGGGUAAGAAACACACUUGUUCCAUUAGACUCCCGCGUUAUAAAUGCUUUUUAUAAUUUACCUGCUGAAAUUAAUUGUGACUAUGCCAAGUUGCUUGAUAAAUUGACCUCGAAAAAGUGGAACACCAUUUUCACAACUCUUACAAUCGAAGGAGCAUCAUGGGCUAACGAGGACAGGCAUAUAGUUAAUAGGAUAGAUUUGAAACCUAUUGCUAAGGUGUGGGUGAAAUUUCUGAAAUCUAGGCUUAUGCCCACCAAUCACACUACUACGGUUUCACAAAAGAGGUUGGUCUUGUUAUAUGUCAUUGUUCGAGGGCUUCCCAUAGAUGUGGGUAGCAUCAUCACAAAAUAAAUCCGGGAUUGUGCAAUUAAGUCUCACCGAACUGCUGUCUUGCUAUUUCCUUUACUCAUCACCAGCAUUUGUGUAGUUUUCGGUGUUCGUCUUGACGCACGAGAUGACCAUGUCAAGAACAAUGGUGCCUUUACGGCACGCACCAUUGAGAGAGUUGCUGGUGAGAGUGCUGGAACAACCACUGAACCAGCUGUUGUAACAGGCACAAGAUUAGCUAUUGGCUUAGAACAGACUAUCCAGGCCCUCAGCACCAGUAUAACUCAAUGUGCGGAAGCUCAGCAGAGGGAAAACGAUCGGUUUUGGAGUUAUUUACAGCACAUGGACAACCAACUACACCAAUUUGCUCUGUACAUGAAAUGCACUCACAGGAACUUCCCUGAUUCAUUGCUCUAGCAGUAUAAUUUUGACAGUAACACCACAGGUGCUCCAGCAGAAGCCAGCGAAGAAGCCACUGCCACAGAUGAGCCAGUAGAAGAAACUGCAGUUAAACCACAAGCAGAGGUAGAAUCAGAAGAUGCUGAACCAUCUGACUCACCUGAGGAAGAAGGUGACAAGUCUGAGACUGAUAGCUCACCCACAGAGGCAGACGACAACUCGGAGAAAGAACGUGAGGAACCUUCCAUCCUAACUCAGUCCAAAACCAGGAAAAAGCGCAUUAUUCAAGAAGAGGAAGAGGGAGACCUUGAAGAGGAACCGUCUAUUCCGGUCCUUGCGAGAAAGGGAAAGGGCAAGGGUAAAGCAAAAAUGGUAACACCUUCAGCUUCUGACGAUGAAAUAGAGCAAGUUGAUUCCUAGCUGGCUGCUGCAGCAACCAGAGUUAUGCCUACACCUGCAGAAGCCAAGCAACUACUUGCUAUCAUUGCUGCCAUCACAACUGAGGGCCAGGCAGCUGAUGCAUCAACUCCAAUUCUUCCACAACAAACUCCUAACCAACAAAAGUAAAGGCAGUACGUCUAAAGGCACUGCUACAAUAACCCCAGCCACAACUCCUCUCACCAGCCCCAUGAAGAAAAAGACAAAGACAUUGCCAGCUACUUCCCCACAAGCUUCACCAAAGGAUAAGCUGCGCAGUGCAACCAAGAAGCGCUGAUAGCAUCCCGUCAUGUGCUGCAGUCCCCACCAUAGGGGAGUAUUCUUUCCUUGCUAGUUCAUUUCAUUAAAAAAAAUGUUUUUUUUCCUUUUGUUUGUCAAUUUGUGUGGUAUUUUCUAAGGUCUUCCAUAUCCUUGUCAGUUUGUGUGCCCUUGUUAUGUAUGCUUGUGAGGACACAGCAGCUCUCAAGUUUGGGGGGGUCGUGUUUCCGAAUGCAUGUGUUUAUGUUUGUGUUGUGUGAAGCUAUGUUAUCUAAUAUUUGUGUAUGGAUUUGAAAACCUAAUGAAGAUAAAUUGAGUGUUAUUCAGUAUUUAUGAGAAUGCCAAGUAAAGAUAGUUAUAGAUGGAAAUGAAAUUUUGUCCCGACACUUAGACUUUGGUUGAAUUGUAUGAGACUGAUAAAGCAGAGCCAAAAGAAUAGAAAAGAGCUUAAGUUUGGGGGGAGAAGCAAGUUUGAUUGACUGUGAUAUCUAUUAAAUAAACUAUGUUCCAAUGGCUCAAGUUGCUGAGUAACCAGAUCUGAGUAUGUACCCCAUAAGCAGAAUUGUGUUCAAAGGUAGUGAGAGUUAGAAGCAAUGUUGUAGCAAAUAAAUAAAUAAAAAAAAAAAGAAAAAGAAAAAGAAGUCAUCUGUCCAAGGCAUUGAGUAGCCAGGUAUGUUCAUGAGCCAUAUGUUCAGCCUUGAGUAAAAGAUAUCUGUAGAUAAGAUUAUACUGUAAAUAUUGAUGCAGCAACUCUGAUCUGGGCAUGCUUUGAGUAAUUGGGUGUCCUCAUUACAAGUGAUUGACAUUCACAUGAAAGAUAAAUGUUAUAGUGAGGAGGUUGAUUACUCCCUAGUUUAUCAAUAUUAAAAUCAUCAUAGUUUGAGUAUGUGAAACUUGUGCUACCCCAUUUAUGAAUGAAGUGUUAUCACUAUUGAAAUUCAUGUAGUCCCUUGGUGAUGUUAUAGCAUCUCUGGAAUUCAAUCAAAGGAGCACACACACACUAUGGACAUAAAGAAGCUUAAGUUUAGAACUGAUUUACUAUGGUCAUUUUGCAUGAUUGGGAUUGUGAUCUGAAGAUGGAAGAAUCCUUGCAAAUUUGAUAAAAGAGCUAAAGUUCUGUGCAUGAUUGUUUGCGGGAAGUGUUAGUAUGUGUCAUUACUUGAGGGCAAGUAAUUGUUUAAGUUUAGGGGUGUGAUAACUCUAGGAAAUGAGAGUUAUUACAUCAAUUUUAGACUUGAAUCAAGAUCAUUUAGAGAACAAAUAAGGUGUUUUUAUUACAUUUUGGUUACAUUUUGCAUAAACAUUCAUUUUAGUUGAGUUUUAAUAAGUUUUGCUUGAAUCAAAAUAAUUUGUGCUAAAAACAGGUGCAUAAUUGUAGGUUUUCAGAAAGUCUUAAUUCAUGAGGGGAUGUUGCAACAUUAGAUGAGUAAGAGGGGGAAAGAAGAUGGCCACAAAAAAAGUAAAGCACAAUCGGGAAUAAUGCAGUGUUGUUGCGGAUGUUAGAGCAACCAGUGUUGUAGCAAUCUGGGAGCAAUGUGGGAGAAAACUUAGGUGUGGGUUAGCCACAGAAUCGCAAUCUGCUUGUUUCCUAAUUUAACGCAUGCACGCUCAUGGGCUUUUGUUUACCCUAAUUUGCAAUAUAAAAGGGAGGCGUGCACAACAUAGGAAGGCGGCAAAGAAAUUAUCAUUAGAAUAAUUACAAAGGAAAGAAGAAGAAGAUCAUAAUUGUAGUGUGCUGUUUCGGCAACAUUGAAGAAUCGUGCAGAAUUAUUUGGAUUUGUCUUUCACCGUGCUCAACUUAUAUUUAUCUUCUUCCUUUAAUUAUUUUGAUGUAUCCCGUGAUCAAUAUAUUUUUGUUUAUUUUUCUCAUUCAGAUUAUGAACUAAAUUUACUUGUAGUUGAGUGACAAACAAUCCAAUGUGUUCUUGACUGUUCUUAUAUGUUGUUAUGGCAUUGCUGUAGCAUUUUACUUUAGUAGUUUUUAUGAAUAUAACUGUUAUUUAGGUUGACCACCCAUUUAAUAGCUUCAGUUAAGAUACAACAGCAAAAUGACAUGUCUUAGUGGAUAUUAUUAGAGUAUUACUUUUUGAUCUUAAGUUGAGUUUCAUGUAUUAAGUUAUCUUGAAUCCCAUAAGGGCAAUACUUGAAGUUAAGAUUUGUGACACACUAGACAUAGGUGUUCACCUUGUAGGGUAGAGAGACUAAAGGUUAUAAUGUCAUACCAUAAGUAUAUUAGUAACUGGUCAUUGUUUUAUAGAUUUAAGGGUAUGAGACUUCCAAUAUGCGAUAGCUGAGGAUGCAGAUUUAUUCUGCCCAGUGCUGCAGUACUUGCUGUAACAACUGGUGCUAACUUGAUAAACAACAGUCACCCCAUAAGGAGAGUUUGAUCAUUCAACUAUUAUAAUCUCAAUUGAAACUUAAACACAUUUAACCUAGUUUAUUUCGUUACGGUAUUGUUUUAUUUAAUUCUCUCACAAUCAUUAAUUACAAUAGAAAUUACUUCACAAUUGUUUGCUUCGGUCUUAAGUUAUUUUGCACUAUUGAAAUUGUUUUAGCAUUUCAUGUAGCAUCAAUCCCUGUGGAGACGAUCUUGAAUACUCAUCACUUUAUUACUUGUUGUGUAUACUUGCACAUUGGCAUUUGUAGUAAUUGCUUAUAAAAUUAACCAACACAAGACUUAGCUUGUGGCCUUGUGCCAAGCCGCUGGCAGCAUUAUGGGCAUACUUGUAGGCAUGAAUGAAAGUAACACUAGACUAGACUGUGAACUAGAGCGCGACAUCAAGCACAUGCUCCAAGACAAGUGCGGGGAGUGCGAGGCAAUGCUCGCAAGGAUGUGUGCUACCAUCUAUAUAAAUGUAGGGGCAUGGGAUGUAUAGAGCACACCUAUAGGCUAAGCUGGGUAGAAUACAGGAUGGCGCAAUGCAGUUGUGCUCAGGCUAAAUAGGCAACGCGUACGUUGGUUGGCAGCAGGUGCAAAAGCGUCCAAGGCAUUACGUAAAUGAGCAACGUGCCACAUAUAGAUAUAUACAUGGGAGUCAAACUAUAUAAAUAUGAGAGACAUUUGGUUUAUACAUGUGGCCUAUAUUUGGGCAAUAGCAGUCGAACACUGAGCAUGUUGGCUAGAAAAUUUCCAAGAAUGAGUCUUAGAAACAAAAAUGAGUGAGAUUUUUUGUGCAACGAACAAAAGACAUGGCCUUCAAACUCAUGCCUAAAAACAUGUAGACAAGAGAAGUAGACAGUGGCGAUUACUCAUUAUUUCCUUGCUUCUAGUGUAGUGGGCAGCGGUUGCCUAAUCCUUAAAGGAAUAGAGAUGUGAUUCCUAGAAUCAUGCUUAAUAGUGCCUAGUCUGGGGGGGAGGAAAUGAGGUGGCAUAAGGACAACAAGCCACCUCACCUUGACAAAAAGUGGUGUCAUAUGUAACAUGUAUAUAUAGUGUGAGUGCGUGUGUGUUUUAGGAGAUCUAAAUUUUAGUAAAAUGAGUGGUCCCUAAGCACACAAAACUUAGAGCUAUUUCGUAAUUUUUCUUAUUAUGGGAAUUGAAAAGUUACGGAUCAGUGCCUCCAUAAAAAGCAAUAUUGUGUGUUCUUGUUAUUUUUAUUCUUUUUUUUAUUGUUAGUUUGGUUUAUCUCUUGUGAUAACCUCUAUUACGGGCCUUUUGGGUUGCUUUCAUUAACGUUGUUGAGUGAUUGGCUAAGUGGGGGCUUAGCACCAUCACACAAGUUGUAAUGUCUUCAAACAAAACCAAGUGACAACUAGUAUCAGAGGAAAUGUUGCUUCAGUUGUUAGAACAAUUAGUGUUAGAGUAAAGAUUGCAUUAGUUGUUUGGACAACUAAUAUCAGAGCAUAGGUUGUUCCAGUUGGUAGAACAAUUUGGUAUCAAAACAACAAUUACAAAGCAAGGUUGCAUCAAUGUUGGUGACAAAUGAUUUCAAGGCUCGAUUAAAAUCAGUUCAAGGAUAAUUGAUUGUGUGAUUUUAGGGAAGCUACGAUGCAUGAGCUAGAUUGUGUAAUUUAUAGGGAAAUUAACAAUGGUACAUGAAUUGUGUGACUAGCGACUAAAACCAGCAUGGCAGGAGAAUCAAUAAAGGAUGAGUUAGAUGAUUGGACGCUAUUGUGGGUACUUUGUAGCCUUACUUGUAGAGUUUGGCAAAGAACACAAAAAUCAACUCAAUGAAGAUGGCAAGUAUGCAAAAAACUUGCAAGGAGUUUGGAAAUGAUUUCAUGAAGACGCUGAACAAGGUGAUGAAAAAUGUUGUUCAUAAGCGAAGGUGCUGAAAAUCAAUAUUAUAGAACUUGAAGAGAAAGUUGGGUUACUGAAACGCGCAGUAGGCAAUGCUUCAGAUUCUAAAGAUGGGCCUUUGAAGGUCAAGGUUUCAGAACCUAAGGCUUAUAGUAGAACUCAAAACGCUAGGGAAUUGGAGAAUUUUCUAUGAGAUGUGGAUUAGUGCUUUCUAGCUGCUCGAGUAUCAGAGAUGGAGCAUGUCACUAUCACGAGCAUGCACUUAGAAGGUGAUGCUAAGUUGUGGUAGUGGAGUAGGCUUCAAGAGGAUGUCGAAGCACAUAGUGAUCGGUAAUCGAAACAUGGGACACAUUAAUGCAAGAAUCGAAGGGUCAAUUCUAAUGGGAAAUCCUGGCUGGAUGAAGAUAGAAAUCUUCAAAGAGCUGAAGCAUGCCAAAGAUUUUAUUUAAUUGAUGUUGGACAUCAAGAGCAUGUCAGAUGAGGACAAACUCUUCAAUUUUAUAUUGAGACUGCAACCAUGGCCUCAAUCCAAAUUGUGGAAGCAAGUUGUGAGGGACUUGUCGAUGGCAAUUAUAGCUAUUGAUGGUUUAGUGGAUUUUAGAUUCAUGAACACUUCUCCUUAUGAAUUUAAGAAAUCAAAAGAUUGCAAGAAAGAAAAUUCUUAGCAUGAUGGUGGGAACAAGAAUGGCAGCCAAAACAAAGUCAAGCCACGAAAUCUACAAGAAUAGAAGAGCUUGGGGUACCUCAUUUGCAAUGGACCACGUCAGGAAAGGAUUGUCCAAAGCAUGAGAAACUGAAUGAUUUCGUGAACAAAACAAAAGGAGAGUGUACAAAACCUUCAGUUGCUGAAGUAUGUGCAACACAAAAGAAUCUGUUACAAUUGUUGAACAACAUGGAUAUCCACUAAAGUAUUAUUGUUUCUUAGAAUAUGUUCAAAUUUUGCUUUAUAUCCUCUACCUAUUAUUACAAUUUGUUCUUACUGUAAAUGUGUCACUUUGUAUAUACAAAUGAAAUGAGUUUAAAGAAUUUAUUAUUCACAGAUUCUCUAAUUUUGUACCUGACUUUCUACUUUCUAUUUCUGUAAAUUUUCUACUAGUAUACGUUGUUAUUUCUUCUUUCUCUUUUGACCUAUCUUCAUUGGGCUUUUGUAUUAGUAUUCUUGUCCAUCCUAAACUACUUGCAUUAGUUUAUAUAAUUUUAUAAUUAUUGUUUAUAGGCAAUGCUAAUAGCUUGAGAUUCCUAACUAUUCCUUUAAGUUUUUGUAUUAAUUUUUUAUCUUCUCUGGUAAAACAUUUCUAUCCAUUUUUACUUAACUUAUUAUAUAAAGGUUUUAUUAAUGUAUUAAGAUUUGGUAUAAAUUUCCUACUACAAUUUAAUAAUCCUAAGAAUUUUUGUAGUUCUGUAAUAUCUUCUAUUUUAUUAGGAAAUUCUAAUAUUUUACUAACUAUAUGUGGUUGUAAUUCUAUAGUUCCUCUAUCUAUUGUUAGUCCAAUUUUUUUUGUUUUAAUAAUUCAAUUUUCUUUUUAGAAAUUACUAUAUUAUUAUUCUUAAAACAAUCUAAAUUUUUAUGUAGGUGAGUUAUGUGCAAGAACUUGUUAUGACUAAAAACAAGAAUAUCAUUCAUAUAAACUAUACAAAAUUUUGUAAAGGGUUUCAGUAUUUUAUCUAUUCUACCUUAAAAAACUUGUGGUGCAUUUUUUAAUCCAAACAACAUUACUAACAGUUCAAAGUGUCCUUUAGAACAACUAAAAGUUGUCCAUUGAACAUAUUCUUCAUGGAGUCAUAUUUGCCAAAAACCACUUUUACAAUCAAAUUUAGAAAAAUAUCUAGUAUUUUGUAUACAAUUUACUAGCUCAUCUUUAUUAGGUACUUUAUAACUAUUGUCUAAAGUAUUGUCGUUUAAUCUUUUAUAAUUAAUUACCAUUCUAUUCUUACCUCUUUUUUGUUCACUAUGAUUAUUUACAAUAAAUAUUGAACUUCUAUGUCUACUUGUAUUAUUUCUUAUUACUAUUAUUUCUAAUAAUUCAUUUAUAUGCCUUUUAAAUUCAUUUUGUAUCUUUAAGCUAUAAGCUAAAUUAUGUGUUUUUAUUGUUAUAUUUGGAUUAAUAAUUUAGAAUUUACAUACUUCUUUAUUAUCUUUUCUAAUUGUGUUGUUGCCUAUUAUUUUUAAUUUUUCUUACUCUUCUACUUUUUUUUAUUAUGUCUACAACCCAUUUUUCACAUUUUAAACAUUUUACUUCUUUUUCUAUACUGACUUUGCUAUAUUUUUAUUCUUCUAAUAAAAAAUCGAAGAAUUCUAUAUCUACUUCUUUUCCUAGCAUUAAAGUCUUCUUUUUCAUAUGACAAAAUGUGUGUUUCAUAUUUGGGUUGAAUAAAUUUUGAUUUUUUAAAGAAAUUAACUCCAUUUUGAGUUAUUUAUAUAUUACAAUUAUUUCCUAAUAUAAAGUUUAAUCCUAAAAUAAAUUUAUAUCAUACUUUCUGAUUAGAAAUAAAUGUUUGUGGUAAAAUGUGUGUUUCUCCAUUUAUUCUAAUAGGUAUAUUAGCUAUACAUUCUAUUAUUUGCAUUAAUUUAAACUGUCUAAUAUUUACUGAAUUUCUUAACUUAUUUCUAUUUUCUUUAGGUACUAAACUAUCAUGUAUAAUACAUUAAUUUCUAAAUCUAAUUCUAUUAUUGUUAGAAAUUAGUGUCCUAGAAACUUAUACAUCAUUCUUUGGUAUAAAUUCUACAAAUUGUAAUAACAAAUUUGAAUUAGGAUAUAGAGAUAUAAACACAAAUAAAUUCUUUUGUAAUAGUUGCAAAGAUAAAUACCAAGAUAAAAAAGCAAUAGAAAUAAAUAGAGUAGGAAGUGAAUUAAUAAAUAUAGAUGUAGAAUUAUUAUUUAAAAAAGAAACAAUUUACACUAAAGCAAUGAUAGACACGGGAGCAAAUAAAUGUAUUAUACAUGAUAGUUUAGUACCUAAAGAAAAUAGAAAUAAGUUAAGAAAUCCAAUGAAUAUUAGACAGUUUAAUGGUGAAUUAAUGCAAAUAACAGAAUGUAUAAAUAAUGUACCUAUUAGAAUAAAUGGAGAAACACACAUUUUACCACAAACAUUUAUUUCUAAUCAGAAAGUAUGAUAUAAAUUUAUUUUAGGAUUAAACUUUAUAUUAGGAAAUAAUUGUAAUAUAUAAAUAACUCAAAAUGGAGUUAAUUUCUUUAAAAAAUCAAAAUUUAUUCAACCCAAAUAUGAAACACACAUUUUGUCAUAUGAAAAAGAAGACUUUAAUGCUAGGAAAAGAAGUAGAUAUAGAAUUCUUUGAUUUUUUAUUAGAAGAAUAAAAAGAUAGCAAAGUAGAAAGUACUAAAGAGCUAGCAGACGAUAGUAAGUUAGAAUUAGAAAGUGACAUAUGCACAUGAAUAAUAAGUUAGAAAGUACUAAAGUAGAAAUUUUAUACGAUGAAGAGAUAGACAACGAUUUAGAAGAUGUUAUGAGUAUAGAAAAAGAAGUAGAAUGUUUAGAAUGUGAAAAAUGGCUUGCAGACAUUAGAAAAAAAGUAGAAGAGUUAGAAAAAUUAGAAAUAAUAGGCAAGAGUCUAAUUAGAAAUAUAAAAAGAACUAUAUAAAUUAGAGAUUAUUAAUCCAAAUAUAACAAUAAAAACACAGGAUUUAGCUUAUAACUUAGACAAUAGAAAUGAAUUUAAAAUGCGCAUAAAUGAAUUAUUAGAAUUAAAAGUAAUGAGAAAUAGUACAAGUAGACAUAGAAGUACAACAUUUAUUGUAAAUAAUUAUAACAAAAAAGAGGUAAGAGUAGAAUGGUAAUUAAUUAUAAAAGAUUAAACUAUUAUACUUUAGACAAUAGUUAUAAGAUACAUAAUAAAGAUGAGCUAGUAAACUGUAUACAAACGCUAAAUAUUCACAAGGACAUUUUGAAUGGUUAGUAAUGUCUUUUGGAUUAAAAAAUGCAACUCAAAUUUUUCAAGCAAGAACGGAUAAAAUAUUAAAACAUUUUUCAUAAUUUUGUAUAGUUUAUAUAGAUGAUUUUUUUUUUUAGUCAUAAUAAGUUCAUGCACGUAACUCACUCACAAAAAAUUUUAUAUUGUUUUAAGAAUAAUAAUAUAGUAAUUUCUAAAAAGAAAAUUGAAUUAUUAAAACAAAAAAUAGAUUUUUUAGGACUAGCAAUUGACAAAGGAACUAUGGAAUUACAUCCACAUAUAUUUAGUAAAAUGUUAGAAUUUUCUGAUAAAAUAGAAGAUACCGAAGAACUAUAAAAAUUCUUAGGAUUAUUAAAUUAUAGUUAGAAAUUUAUAUCAAACCUUAGUACACUAACAAGACCUUUAUAUAAUAAGUUAAGUAAAAAUGGAGAGAAAUAUUUUAACAGUGAAGAUAUAAAAUUAGUACAAACUCUUAAAGGAAUAGUUAGGAAUCUUAAGCCAUUAGCAUUAUCUAUAGACAGUUAUUAUAAAAUUAUACAAUCUGAUGCAAUUAGUUUAGAAUGGAUAGGAAUACUAAUACAAAAGCCCAAUAAAGAUAGCUCAAAAGAGAAAGAAGAAAUAACAAUGUAUGGUAGUGAAAAUUUUAUAGAAAUAGAAAGUAGAAAGUCAAGUACAUAAUUAAAAAUUCUAAGAAUAAUAAAUUUUUUAAUCUCAUUACAUUUGUAUAUACAAAAUGAUAUAUUUACAAUAAGAACAGAUUAUAAUAAUAUUAUAAAAUUUUAUAAAAAAGUACAAAAGAAUAAUUUUUGAGAAGAAAAAUUCUUUUAUUAGUAAAAGAUGGAAUUAUUUCUUAGAAGAAAUAACAGGUAGAGAAUAUAAAGCAAAAUUUGAACAUAUAGUAGGAAAAUAUAAUAUUUUAGAUGAUAUUCUUUCAAGACUAAUUAUUCAAUAAUUAUUUUAUAGGAAUGGAGUGAUAUAUGAAUUUCGGUCCAAUAGCACUUAGAGAGUUCCCUUCAUGAACAAAUUUAAGGUUUAGAAGUAAAUAUCAAUUAUUGGACAAUCAACAAUCCAUCUUAGAUAAUUCGUAGAAUUGUAAUAACCUAAAAGAUAAAUUUAAAGUAGCCAAUGCACUCUUGCAUUACUUUAGACAGAUUAAUAAGCAUGUAGAAACUAAUCGUUUUGCAUUUUUUGUAUUAGUCAGAGGUAGACAACUAGGCAUUUAUAGACAGUCGAGAGAGAUAGUUGAUCUAACAAUCAAUUAUCCUUAUCCAUACUAAGGAGGUUUUUAUAUAUUUCAUGAAGAAAUAGAAUUUGCUAGACAAAAGAUAGGACCAAAUACAAUGUUAGAUAUUUAAUUAACCUUUUAACAGUGCAUCAACAUCAUCAAACAUAUAAUUAAAUAAUUCUUUAGACAAUGCAUCAUCAUUAUCAUCAUCAUCUAUACAGUUUUGCAACCAUUGUGAAAUUAUGACAUACACAAUUAGAAAACUUAAUGAUACUAGACAUCAUCUAGACAGUGUAAAUGAAAAAUGUAAACAAAAAAUGAUUGCAUUAGAAAGUGAAGAUAAAGAGUUAAUUGGACAGAAUAUUAAAUUACCAAAUAAAUAUCAUAUUCUACUAUUAGAUCACCAAAAAACCCAAAAAUAAAAACAACUACUGAAACAAUUAUUUAAUCAUAUCCGAGCAGGAUAAAUUAAUAAAAAUCCACCAUAUUUCUUCCUUCCUUGGUGGCAACAUAGACAUUAUAAAAGAAAAAAUAGUAGAAAAUCUAUACCAAGACUUUGUUUCUUUAGCCAAUCAAUUAUUUUAUAGUCAGUUAAAUUUCUUAAUCUAAUUUGUACUUAGAUGGUCAGAAUUAAGGAAUAUUACCCCUCUUGGACAUGAUUUGUCUAUAAUUUCCUUUGAUUAUUCUUUAGCCAAAACCCUAGACAAUGAAGAUUUAUUAUUAAAGGUUAUCAGUUUUGGAAUGAUAUGCACUAUUUAUAUUUUCGGCUUAGAAAAAUUUAAAUUAUUUCCAUCAAUGUUAAAUAGAGCCGUAUCUAUUAUAAAACCUCACUUUUGAUAAUAAAUUUCCAUUUUUUACCACCAAGACCCCAAGUGAUUAAUAAAAUGAAAAUAGGUGUUAUAAUACUAGCAUAUCAUUUCAUUUUUAUAAGCGAAGGAGUCAAAAAGUUUAGAAGAAGAAUUUAUCAUGAUAAGCCCAACUUCUCUACAAAAGAUUUAUAUAGAAGAACACAUGACAUGUCAGUCUUUUAUGAAUGGGUGGACACUCAUGAUAAGAUCAUAGCCCAAGGAGAACAUUAUACUAUUAUAGCCAAAGAGCAUCUUGUUCGUGAGGAACAACUUAUUCCUUCGCUGCAAGUAAAAGUUGGCUAUCCAAAAAAAAUGUGAAGUAUACUUGGAGGCACUAAUCGGGAUUAAUGACAUGCCAUCAUCAAGAGAAGGAUCUGAAGCUAUGAGUCAUCAAUCUUUGAAUGAAAGCAUAGCUGAAGCUGUUGAUGAAAUGAUUGAUAGAUAAGCGACCCCACCAAAAAUAUUAGCUAGCAUUGGCCAGUUAGCAGUAGUUAAAAAGUCAAGUAAUCAGUCUUUAUCAUUGUCACGUUUUAUAGAUGCCCUUACUUUACUCAUUACCCGACAAGGAAAAAACUACGAAGGCAUCUUUGUUGCUUUGUCAUUUUAUUACCGACAGUGAAUUAGGUUAAAAAAAAAUAGUAGCCAGUCGCUGUUUGUCGACAGUGAGUCAUUACAAAAUUAUAGUAGCCAGUCAAUCCUUUUAUUGUUUACUUUUAGACAAUCUUUUGGCAAUUUGCCAAGAGUAAAGUAUACUAUCAAAAUCUUAUCUCUUGUACAUCGAGUCAAUAAUUGUAUCAAGUCUUCAAGUUGUAUAUCUAGACCUCUCAAGUUUAAAAAGAAGAUAGGUGAAGUCAUAGAAAAAAGGCAAUUCUGCACACACAAUCAAAAAAGCAAUAAACGUUUCUUUAUAAACACUUAGUAAUCUUUUAUACAUCAAUUAGCAAGCUCUUAUUAAGUAAGUAAAUUUUAUUUCUUUAAUUUUGCCUAUUUAUCUUUCGGGAUCAGAAGUCUUGCCUAAUUAAUGAACAUAUGAAUUAUAUUUAAAGCAUUAACAAAAGGUGGUCCUUGUUAUUAUUCAAUGGAAAAGAGUUUGGAAGAAAAGCUUUUGAAAAAUGGGUUUUGUUUUUGACAAAAAUAAUAAGUGCUUAGUAAAAGUUUCUGCUGAUUUUCUAAAAGCAUAUUUUUUAACACGGUCUCCAUUGGCCCGUUUAGCCAUUAAUGUGUUGAGAAGGCAUUUGUGGUCGUGAGUCGAGAGUUUGAAAGUGUUUUUAACCAGCAUGUUUUUAGAAUUAGUUUAAUAAACUUUGAAAAGGGAUCAAAAAGGCAACUACGUAGCUUGUGAUAUCGGUAGUACAGACUGAUAUAAUUCCCAAUUGAGUUAACUAUUAGAAUAUAUGUCGUUGAUUUCCUAUCUAUAUACUGUAAAUUCCCAAAAGUUUUAUGAAAGCUAAUAUUGUACAAAAUAAAUUUUGAAGUUUCAGUUGAGGCAGCGGCUCAAAAUAAAAUUGUUUUGCUUGAAUAUGCAUUUUGUAAAAUACAAAUGUUCACACUUUAGAAUUUGACAAUAUAACCUCAGCGGAUUCAAAAUGAUUGUUUAUUAGUGAGAGGGUUAAAUUGCAUAAGAACAAGAUACAAAAACUAAAGUUUUAUGGGUUUGUGAGUUUAUGGAGGCUAUUUUAAUAAAUUUAGUAGGGGCUAAAUUAAAAUAUUAGUAAAUUAAACCACCCACAUGAGUUAUUGUGGAAUUUUAUUUUUUUAAUUAAAGAGUGGGCUUUUAUAAUUUUUUAUGUCAAAGUUUAAAUUUUAUGGGCUUGUGAGUUUACAAGGGCUAUUUUUAUAAAUUUUAUAUAGUUGUUUUAAUAUAUUAACGGGACUAAUUAGAAACUCAAAUAAUAUCUUGAUUUUUAAAAUUUAUUUUCUCCAAUUGGAACUCAAACCCACUGGUCAUGAUUUGGAUCCGCUCCUAAACAAAACGUACUCUUUAACAUGUUUUGCAAUUAGUCGAAACUAAAUAUUUAUAAUUUUAGUAGCAAAAUAGAAUUUUUUUAUGAUUGGCCUCUAUAACUUUAACAACUUAAAUAAUUUUACGGACAAUAAUUAUUUACUUUUUAUGGACUUUAACCUCUAGAUAUUUAUCUCUAUUAUUUUUACACCUCUAAAUUUUAAAUUCUGGCUUCGCACGACAAUUCGAAGCAAUAUCUAAUGUGAGUUACUAUAAAUUAUGAAGAUGUGAGAAUUUUAUGAAAUGUAAAAUCAACAUAUAGAGACAGACUAUGCGUGUGACAAGUUAUACAUAAAAGUUUGUAAUUAGACAGUGCCAUUAGGUCUAAAUUGCAUUUUAUAAUAUGUGGAAUUCAAUCUUGGAGAAUAAAAUACCUUUUGUUGCACCACUUCCAUAAACAAUUCUUCGUCCUGUGAUUCGGAUUGACGAAGCAAGACAUUCACAAAGUAAGAACCAUAGAGAUUUGCUGAGACAAAGGUUAUAGGGAAUUUUAGCUGCCUCUACAGUUCUACUGCCCUACUUACCAUUCGUUUUUUCCUCCAAGUAAGCUUCAAAAGGAGGCAGCGGCCUUAUCCUGUCUCUUCACAUCCGAACUCAGAUGGAAGAAACCUCCAGCAGCCAAAACAUAGUAUGUUUAAGAUCUGUUCUAUAUAAACAAAUUUGAAGUAAUUCAGCACUGAAUUGUAAAAACACACUAAAAUGUUACAAAGACUCAAAAAUACUAAAUUAGAGUUUGUGAUUUUAGGCAUUUUGCUAAUUUACUAGCCCUCGUAUAUACUUUUACGUCAUUUUUAGAUAACUACAAUUGCCUAGCUUAAAUCUACAUUUACAAAGUGUGGACAUCCACACUUAAAAGUUCCUAAUGUUUUUCAUUUAGUAAACAAACUAUAUUUAAAUUUCCGAAAAAAAAAAAAAAAGAAGCGAUCUAUUUUAUUUUUCAGAAAGAAAGAGCUCAAUCAAGUACCUUGAUGUUGCCAGCAACUUUGAUGGCAUCAUCAAUUUUCAGUUGAUCACGAAACUGAGGAUAAGCUACAGUAGAUAUCACCACAGCUACUUCCUUAAAUAUAGAUACAAUUUUUCUCGUGCUCGUCUAGCUCUCCCUAUUUUAAUUUUUAAUUUCAACAGUAUUAUUGUUAAUACUUAAGCUUACAAAUAAUAUUGAAGAUUCUAAUUAGAUCAGCACAAAAUUAAUCUCAUAAAAAGAAGUAUAAGAGAUCAUUCCACGCGCACUAAAAAAAGAGAGAGAGAGAGAUCAAGAAAACAAAAGGAGAUCGAGAUGAUUGAGUGAUGAAGUUACCUCAAUAAUUGCGACACCAAUAUCCUGAAAUUCCUUACGGAUUUCAAGCUUGGAGGGACUUGAAUUUUUUUUUUUUUAACCGGUCGAGCAUAAGCUUUGUGACCAGAAAAUACACUUGCUUUCACCAUAUAUUUGCCGAAGUAUCCAGUACCCCCAAAGCUUUUGCGUUCUCACCUUCCAUUUCUUCCUUUUACUUCGAUUUGUCUUUAAUAUUCCCGUCUCUUGUUGCGUACAUUUAUAUAUAUGAUAGCACGAAAGAGCUCAUUGCAUUUUUGUCAUGAUAAUAAAAGAAAAAAAUUGGCAUUUUUGUUCUUUUUUUACUAGAAACGCAAUGGGUUGAACAUUUAUAAUUAGUAAAAGAAUAUGUGUGACUUCACAGUUUAUGGUGUUUUUCAUUGCAAUCAUGUUGAUGUUCAUAAUGUUAAAAUUAAUGGAGCUAUUUCAGCAUGUUGAAAAUCCGAAAAUUGCAUCCAUCAUGUAGUACUUGUGCCAUGUCAUUGAGUUUUGUUCUCUUAUCUUUUUUAUUUUAAUAUAUUACUUGUUUGACAUACUGCCUGUGGAGAUAUUUCUUAGGUGAAAUCAUAAUUUAGUUUUUUUAUAAAUAAUUUAAAUAUGUGAUAUAUAGUAUUUUUAGGCAUCGUUUGAGAUUAAUGUUGAAAUUCAGUAAAUUGCUUAUUUCAUAAUGGUGACAAAAAUAUUAUUUAAUAAAUUUUCUAAAAACUACUUAUUUCACAAUUUCUCCAUCUUGAAAGUAGCUUUUAAAAGUAGGUACGGGUUAUCUUUUAUAAACAGUUUAUUAUAUAAGCUACCACACCUUUUUAAAUUUCCUAUUAUAACCUUAAAAUUUAAAAUAAUAACUAUAUCUUAUUUUUUCAUACACCCUGGUAUAUAAGCCAUAAUAUCAUAUUAUCAUCACAAUCAAAUUAUAAAACUAUUGUGCAUUCUCUUCAGUAUCAAAAUUUUGAUCCAACAAGUUCAUUGGAUUUUAUUUAAUUGAGUUUUUUUUUUCUUUAUGUAAUUUUAUAUUUUUUAAAAAGAAAAAGAUAUGUCUAAAUAUUAUUAAACAUACUCCAAAAAAAUAAAAGGUAAUUUAAACUUAUAUCUAUUUUGGUCAUUAUAUAAUAAAACAACACGUUUGUAAUCAAAUUUACCGAACGCAUGUACAUUGCUUUUUAAACUCAAACUCACAACAAAUGCAACAAUAAAAUUUAUCAAAUACUAAAUUACUUUUUUAAUCAACAACUUAUUAUAUCUAGACAACAAGAGUAUCUUAUUUAAUCAACGACCACAAUACCAAACUAGUUCUUAGUCUAAUGAUAACUCAGUCUCUUCUCCAUUCAUGUGAGCAGACAUCAAACGUUAAAACUCUUAUUUUCAAUUCAAGAGGUUUUACUAUUUCAAUUAGAUGAUACCAUCUCAAAUUUAUGACAAUAUUAUCUUAACAGCAAGUAGAUCUUAUAAAUGAUCUUAACAGCAAGUAGUUCCUAUAAAUGAAAAAUGAAUAGCGUCUUUUCUUCUAUGCAUCCACAAAGUAGCAAGGCAAUGAGUCAUUUUUAUGCAUAUUCAGAUUCUUGCACGCAUAAUACAAUGGUCUCACAUGAAUAAUACAAUGGUUUAUUCACAAAUGAUGAUAGGUCCCUUGUCUGCUUUUUAGAUAUAGUUUUCUUUCAUUUUUAUUCAUAAAUAGGUAUCAAAAUCUUCAUUUGAUCUGGAAAAAAUAUAAGGAUAUAUUUUUAUUUAAAAGAUGGUCACAUAAUCUUUUUUGUAGGAUAAUUAUAUUCUUUAACUUUCAUGAUCUAAUUGUAUUUUAUCCAGACUUCAUCAAAAAAAUUAUAUAUAACUAUUUUUGAAAACAAGAAGAUCUUUAUAACAUAUUUGGAUUCAAUGUUGCUAACCUUCUAGAAAAAACAAUUGAUAGUUAUUGCAUAAUAAUAUAAAAUUAAUUAAAUCUUAACCAUAUAUAAUUAUAUAUAUAUACACAUGUGACAAAAGAUUAUGAAGAAUUGAAUACAAUUUAGCUCAGUAGUGGAUUUCAAUCCCUUCGUAACUGUUUCGCCAAACCACAAGAAUGUUGCAACUAUUUUUCUUUUUUUCUUUUUCUUAUAUUUUCCAUUUAGUAACAACUAAGUAACUGUACAUUCUAAUGAACACACCCGAAGGAUGUAAAUUUGAGAAAUUAGCGAAAAUAGCUAUAAAAGUUUAGGAUUUUUUAAUUUGACCCCUCAAAAUUUUUCCUAUCAUAACUAGCCAAAUGCUUGUUUUUUUUAACCAAAUAGUUCUCAUUACUUUUAAUAACUUUACCAACAGAUGGGUCCCUAUGAAAAAUCCAGAAAAAUCAGAACCUCAACACUCUCAAUUCUCCCAACAAAUCAUUAAACCCCAUUACUCUCAACAAAUAACCAAACCAGAUCAAACAAGUAUUACGUAACUGAAAAUAUAAUCAUCAAUUGCAGAGCUUCUUAGGAUUAAUGUAUGUUCUUACACAAAAGAAACUUUUAAUGUAUUAAGUUUAGGAUUUAGUUCGAAAUUGAUGUGCAUUUUGUUGUAAAUAUUGUUAUCUUCCAUCAUAAAACAAUGUGAUUUCUUAAUGUACUUAAUUUGAGUUGAGAAAUAAAACAAAAUCAUUGAAAAACAGGCCUAGAUUAUGUGCGACAGGAAAGUUCACGUGCAAGAAGUAGUGAGACAAGUGUCUAUUGUACAUAAACACAGCUGAGCAAAUGUUGGUGCGACAGGCACCUAUCGGACCAAAAGAUAGUUUCAAUGUGAUUGUCUUUUGGUGCUACAGGUGUUUGUUGCUCUAAUAUAUUUUGAUUUGUCUCAUCACCAGUUUCGAAAUAAUAUAUUAUAUAUUCAAAACGGACACAUAUAGUUUAAGUUAUAGCCUCUGAAAGAUAUCAAACACAUUUUACAUGACUAUCGCACAUACUGUGAUUAUAUAUGUUAGCCAGCUGUCUCACUGCCUGUUGCACAUGAACUUUCCUAGCCCACAUAAUCUAGGCUUGUUUUACCUCAAAUUUUUCUUGUUUUCAAUGAUUUUUUUUCCUCAACUCAAACUAAAGUACCUUAAGAAAUCACUUUGUUUUAUGAUGUAAAAUAAUAACAUUUACAAUAAAACUCACAUCAAUUUUGAACCUAAAUCUUAAACCUAAUACAUUAAAAGUUUAUAUUGUGUAAGAACAUACAUUAAGAACAUUCAUUAACCUUAAAAAGCUCUCCAAUUGAUGAUUAUAUCUUCAGUUAUGUAAUAUUUAUUUGAUGUGAUUUGGUGAUUUGUUGAUUUGUUGAGAGAGAUGAGGUUUGAUAAUUUGGUAGAAGUGUUGAGAGUGUUGAGGUACUGAUUUUUUCUGAAUUUUUUUGUAGGAGUGCCAUUUGUUUAUAAAUUUGUUGAAAGUGAUGAGGACUAUUUGGUUCAAAAAACUAGUAUUUGACUAGUUAUGAUAAGAAAAAAUUUGAGGGGUUAAAUAUAAAAAAUUCCAAAAUUUAUAUCUAUUUUGAUAAAUUUCCCUAAAAUUUAAGCUUUGGGCUUAACAAAGCCCAAGCCAGAGACCAGCAUGUUCUUCAAUUCAUGAUAUUAUGAACCAAUACUUACUAUGUAUAAUAUUAUUCUUAGAAUUUUUUUUAUUUCAUUCUUUUAUGUUUUAAAACCACCAGAUUUCUUCUCAUGUUAUAAUGAUAAACAACCUAAUAAACUCUAUAGAGAGCAACUUGCUCUCUAUUUAAUAGUUAAAUAUGAUAGUUAAAAAAUGAAUGAUUUCAAUACUACUUUUGAAGUAAAAAAAAUAUUGACAAAGCCCAAAAUAUUGUUAACAUUUAGGGUGUUCUAGUAAAUUUUAAAAAAGGAUAAGGAAACAAUUAAUUUUUUUUUGAAAUAAAUGGGGUUUGUGAUUGAUAUUGUUUGAAAUCAUAUUUUUGUAUUUGUUUUAUAAUGUAAAAAUAAUUAUUUUUGCGAAUUUAAAAAUGUAUUUCAUAGCUUGUCUCUAAAAUAGUAUUUGAAAAUGAAAACUUAAAAUCAUUUUUAGUUGUUUGUCUGAAAAUAUGAAGAUAAUAGAACUUAAAAAAAUUGUGUUAUAAUGCCAGAAUUUAAGGGAGUGUAUUAAAAUAUUAAAAAUAAAUUAAUAUGUUCUAAAAAAUAAAAAUAUUAAACAAAAUAACAUAGUAUUAUAUUUUUAGUAAAGUAAUUUGUCUACAAGUGCAAUUUAUCAAUGCGAAUGUAUUGGAUGAAAAUUUUUCGAUUGGAAACUAGAAAACUUAAGAGGGUGUAUUUGCUAUCAUUUUCUCUUAAGCAUUUUCACUAUACGAGUACAAAAAUUAAUUAAAUUUAUUUGGUUCACUAUUUUCUAAGAAAAUGUGAGGAAUAAAUCAUUUGUGUGUUAUUUUUUAUAAAAGACAUUGAAAAACAUUAAGUUAGUGUUCUCUAUAUUUUUUUGUCACUAAAGUCAUGCAUAUAGGGACCACAAACUAUCUUUGUUUUAUUUAUUUGACAAGUGACUAAUGUAAGGACCAAAUUUACUUUUCUUUUAGUUUAUGUCUAAAGUUAAUCACUUAUGUUAAUGAUUUAUGUCUUAACAAUAUGAGAAUUUUAAGAAAUACAAAAAUCUUUCAACUGUUAUGAAUUUAUUAAAAUAAACGUGAAUUUUCAUAACAUACAUCUCUCAGUCUCUUCAUUAUCUUCCAGUAGCAACCCUUGUCUUAUUUAUAAAUUCUACUAUCUUACAAAGAAUUAUAAUCCAUAGUGUUUCUCUCAUCUCUUUAUUUUGUACACACUUAAAAUAAAUAAAAUCAAUCUAUAAUAUAUUGCUCUUUUAUUUUACUCUUUAUCUUGUGUUGUUUCUUUAUUUUUCUAUUGCCGGCUAAAAACUUUUCUAAUACAAUAUGUUUGUAAUUUUAAGAAAGCUGGAUGAGAACUAUUUGGUUCAAAAAACUAGUAUUUAGCUAGUUAUGAUAGGAAAAAACUUGAGAGGUUAAAUUUAAAAAAUUUCCAAAAUUUUGUAUCCAUUUUGAUAAAUUUCCCUAAAAUUUAAGCUUCGGGAUUAACAAAGCAUAAGCCAGAGCCCAGCAUGUUCUUCAAUUCACGAUAUUAUGAACCAAUAGUUACUAUGUAUUAUAUUAUUCUUAGAAUUUUUUUAUUUUAUUCUUUUAUGUUUUAAAACCACCAGAUUUCUUCUCAUGUUAUAAUGAUAAACAACCUAAUAAACUCUAUAGAGAGCAACUUGCUCUCUGUUUAAUAGUUAAAUAUGAUAGUUAAAAAUGAAUGAUUUCAAUACUACUUUUGAAGUAAAAAAAAUAUUGACAAAGCCCAAAAUAUUGUUAACAUUUAGGGUGUUCUAGUAAAUUUUAAAAAAGGAUAAGGAAACAAUUAAUUUUUUUUUGAAAUAAAUGGGGUUUGUGAUUGAUAUUGUUUGAAAUCAUAUUUUUGUAUUUGUUUUAUAAUGUAAAAAUAAUUAUUUUUGCGAAUUUAAAAAUGUAUUUCAUAGCUUGUCUCUAAAAUAGUAUUUGAAAAUGAAAACUUAAAACCAUUUUUAGCUGUUUGUCUGAAAAUAUAUAGAGCUGAAAAAAAUUGUGUUAUAAUGUAAGAAUUUAAGGGAGUUUAUUAAAAUAUUAAAAAUAAAAUUAAUAUGUUCUAAAAACUAAAAAUAUUAAAUAAAAUAACAAAAUAUUAUAUAUUUAGUAAAGUGAUUUGUCUACAAGUGCAAUUUAUCAAUGCGAAUGUAUUGGACGAAAAAUUUUCAAUUGGAAACUAGAAAACUUAAGAGGGUGUAUUUGCUAUCAUUUUCUCUUAAGCAUUUUCACUAUACGAGUACAAAAAUUAAUUAAAUUUAUUUGGUUCACCAUUUUCUAAGAAAAUGUGAGGAAUAAAUUAUUUAAGUGUUAUUUUUUAUAAAAGACGUUGAAAAACAUUAAGUUAGUGUUCUCUAUGUUUUUUUGUCGCUAAAGUCAUGCAUAUAGGACAACAACCUAUCUUUAUUUUUUUUAUUCGACAAGUGACUAAUGUAAGGACCAAAUUUACUUUUCUUUUAGUUUAUGUCUAAAGUUAAUCACUUAUGUUAAUCAUUUAUUUCUGAACAAUAUGGGAAUUUUAAGAAAUACAAAAAUCUUUCAAAUUAAACAGUUAUGAAUUUAUUAAAAUAAAUAUGGAUUUUCAUAACAUACAUCUCUCAAUCUCUCCACUAUCUUCCACUAACAACCCUUGACUUAUUUAUAAAUUCUACUAUCUUAAAAAGAAUUAUAAUCCAUAGUGUUUCUCUCAUCUCUUUAUUUUGUACACACUUAAAAUAAAUAAAAUCAAUCUAUAAUAUAUUGCUCUUUUAUUUUACUCUUUAUCUUGUGUUGUUUCUUUAUUUUUCUAUUGCCGGCUAAAAACUUUUCUAAUACAAUAUGUUUGUAAUUUUAAGAAAGCUGGCCAUUUCUUUUCUCUAAUAGGAGUUAUAAGAACGCCAUUCAAAAUGCAAUACCAAAUGCUGAAAAAUGAGAAUGAUUCAUUCUCGCGAAAUACAAAAACCAGUGAGCAAACGCAUUUUACACGAUUUUGUUUUUGGAAAACGGAAAACGCCAAAACAAAACCAGUACCAAACUCACCUUGUUUAAAAUCCUAAAAUUGUGUCGCCAAGGACUGCUUACUUUGGAACACGGCGCGGCCCCAGAACUGCCGUCGUUUUGGUGUUCUGAAGUGUGAAGAUAAACACGACGACCUUUUUCGUGAAUCCCUGAGGCAUCAUAAAACGAAUCAGCUGAGGCGUUCUUGUUCUUCUCCUUUUCAGUAAGGAGCACGAGCUGGUGAGUGAAUUCUUUCAACUGAACGAAAUUCAAUUACAUUAGUAUUAUCUGUAAGUUUUCGUUUUCGAAGAUGUAUGGAUUAUUCUAUAGAAGUAAUCGAAGGCUAUCACUAGCACAAGUGUUAUCAAGUAGUAAUAGGUCUAUUGCGCAAGAUUUAGCCACCUCUUAUUUGGAUUUGUUUUCUGGUUUGGGUUUGAAAGUUCAGAACGCAAGGUUGUUUAAUCCUUUUGGCGUUAAGUUAUUCUCAACUGAAGACGAACAAAUUAAAAGGAAAGUGCCAAAAGAAUGCUCAUUUACGGUGUCAUGCCUCAUAAACUCACGUGGGUUGUCCCCAAAAAUUGCAAAAUCUGUUGCCGAAAGAGUAAAGCUUCAAUCUUCGAAACAACCAGAUUCAGUCCUUCAAUUUUUGAAAAAUCGUGGGUUCAAUGGUUCCCAAAUUGCUAAACUUGUUAGGGUGCGCCCACAGUUACUUUUUGCCCAUCCCGAGAGGUCUCUCUUACCUAAAAUUGAGUUCUUGAACUCUAUUGGGGCCACAGACGCUGAACUUGCUGAUGUUUGCUCGUCAAUCCCAGCCAUUUUGGAUCAAAGCUUGGAGAAUGUACUCAUUCCCAAUUAUAAAUUCCUCAAAAGUGUGUUUUUCUCCAAUGAAAAUGUUAUUAAAGUUUUGAGGAAAAAAAGAACGUGGUUAUUUAGUUUUGAUUUGCAGAAGACUGUGUCUCUGAUACGCCGCGGAGGUCGUCAAGGAUUCCAAAGCCUAGCAACAAGUAUGCUGGGUACGUUUGAAUUAUGCAUGGAUGCUUGGAAGUCGAACGGUCACAUGGCUCAAGACUCAUGCAUACGUUACAUGCAACAUGCAGCACGUUGGAAGAAUGGUCGUUGGAGCAGUCUACAGGGAUCAUGGGUUGAUUCGGUCAACAUGGGAUCACUUGCUGAUUUAAUGGAGAUUUAUUAUUUGGUUUAAUUCAUAUUCGGUUGUUUUGUUAAGCUAAAAGAAUAAGUCAAGUUGUUAGCUUAGUACCUGCCUACAAUCUCGAGUGAUAGUUAGAUUGUUUGGCUAAGUUGUUUCAAGUAUAAAUAAGCUCCAACAGACUUGAAUAAAGGCAUUGACUAUUAUCCAAAAACUCAAAUAUCUUGUGGUCUUAUUUCUCACCCUGAGUAGAAAUAUAUUCAAUCACUUACGCUUUGACUGGGACCGCUAUCAGUGGUAUCAGAGCGAGGUUACUAUGUCAACCAACAAGGAACGCAUAGAGCGUGUGGAAGUUGAGAUCGGAAGCUUGCAAGAUGGAAUGAAGCGUAUGGAACUAGGGCUUACUGACAGAUUAGAAGAAACAAUGAGCAAACUGGUAGAUUCACUUUCAACUUCAAAAGGGACGCCAAGUCACAACAAUUCUGAUCAUGCCGGAUCCUCACAGCCUAGCCGUGGAGAUAGUGAAGGGAGCCGCCAUCAGCUAGCAUCAAGACUUACCAAACUGGAGUGUCCACGAUAUUCCGGCGACGACCCAACGGAGUGGUAUAAUAGGAUCAUGCAAUUUUUCGAGUACCAGGAAGCAACCAACGAACAGAAAGUCUCCUUAGCUUCUUUUAUCCUAGAAGGAGAGGCCAACCAAUGGUGGCAGUGGAUGCGACGAACUUAUCAAGAAGAGGAAAAGACAAUAACGUGGGAAAUUUUUGUGGAGGAGCUUUCACUACUAGAAAAAUAGUCUUUUGUGACACUUGUCUUCUGACACUUUAUUAUAAAGUAUCAGUAAUUACAUGUAUUUGGGGCAUUUUCCGUGUUUAACAGAUAAGUAUCACAAAUUGCUAAUACUACGGCAUCAGUAAAUUAAAUAUCACAGAUUCGUGACACUAAAGUAUUAGUAGUUAAAAAAAUAAAAUUUUAAUUUUGUAUCUAGUAAUAAUUGAACCGAAGACCCCUAUGCCAUAACCUUUUGAUUUUAACCGCUAUACCACUCGGCCACAAAUUGCAUUUUUGAACUUAUAAAUUAAUAAAUAAAUAAUUAUUAAAACUUAAAACCUAAAACCUAGAAAUCUUUCAUGUAUGGUCUGUGUGAAACCUAAGACCUAAAAAUUUUUGUUAAGUCAAAAAUCUAUCUCACGACCGCCGAAGCUUUCUUCCUUCUUUCUCCUUCCCUCUCUCUCGCUCUCUUUCUCUCUCCAACAAUGAUCUACCUUGAAAGCCGCCUCUGUCAACACCUUGAAACCCGUCAUCCUUAAGCUAAAAUAUCCCUGAAAAGAACCCAGAAAGUGCUGUGAAGAAUUUGGGCAAAGCUAAGGUUUGAAAGUCCGAAUCAGUGUUGUGGUAACUCUUUGUCUCAUUCUCUAUUCUCAUUGUUUAAGUAUUUAUCUGUUAAUUGAUUGAUGUUUAUUGAGUGCAAAUGAGAGCUUGCACUUGUUUGGAAAUCUAGCCAUCUAGGGUUUUUGUUGCUUAUAAUCUAAUUUAUUGUUUAAUAAAAUAAAUAAAACGCAACUUUAUUAUAGGUGGAAUUCAGUUUAUUAAGUGAAAGAAUGAUUACAAUUGGUGAUUAUGGAUUUAGGUUGAAUGCAAUUUGUUAAUUAAAAGAAUAAUGGUAAUCGACAAUCAUGGGUUUAGUAUGUAUUAUUUCGUUUAAUGGUGUGUAUGAAAACCCAAACCUAAAAUUUUCUUAAGUAAAAAUCUCCAUUCUCCCUCACGAAAUUAUUCUGAAAAUUUGAGGAUUGAUAGACUGUUGUUGUGAACUUGGUUGUUUCCGAACUUGACUAAAUGACUUUCAAUUGAUUUGAAAGUUUGAUUAAACUAAGUUUAAAUGAGAACAUUUUAAUUCUGGAAAUUUUGGAAUGAAUUGGGUUUAUAUUUGAUUUUGAAUGGAUUUCUCAAUAUGGUUGGUUGUUGUCCAAUUUUAUUAGAAAUUACAUAUGUACCAUGUUUGAUAUUGCAAACGUAUAGUCUAACAGAGUUAGAAUAAGCUGAAAUUCGGAUAAACUACACUUCUAUUUGCAUACUUCGAAUAUGGAAAAUUUUAUUUUGAUUGAACUUGUAAUUUAUUUUUAAUGAUUUUUCAAACUCUGCUGUCUCUGCAGUAACUUUUUUUGACAGAACUGUUCAUUAAUCUUUGAUCCUAUCAAACACCAGCCUAAUGAUAUCGGAAUAGCCUCAAAUUUUAAUAUGUUGUUGACUUAUAUGUCCACUUAAAAUCUGGAAAGUAUCAUUAUGAUAUAUUUAGUAUUUUAAAUUUAAUAUAUAUUCAAACACUUGCUGUUACUUUUACAGUUUCAUAUGCAAUUUUGACAGAACUGUUAAUUAAUCUUUGAUCCUAUCAAACACCAGCCUAAUGAUAUCGGAAUAGCCUCAAAUUUUAAUAUGUUGUUGAAUUAUAUGUCCACUUAAAAUCUGGAAAGUAUCAUUAUGAUAUAUUUAGUAUUUUAAAUUUAAUAUACAUUCAAACACCUGCUGCUACUUUUACAGUUUCAUAAGCAAUUUUAACUUAUAUAGUUUAUCAUGUGAGAAGCAAAUGUAGAGUUGUCCAAAUGACUUGGAAAUUUGAUUUGUGGUGCAUGGACAUGUCUAAUUAUGUUUUGUAAGUUUCAUAACAUUCCAAAUUAAAUUAAAGAAAAUCUUAAAUUCAAGUUGUCAAUGUUUCCUAUUAAAUCUGAUUAGUGAUAAAUCUACUAACUUGCAGUACUUUUCAGGGAAAAAAAUGUGUCAACACUGUGAAUUGCAAUGGGAGAAGAAAGUACCAAAGGCAUAAAUCUUUUUUCAUUAUAUUUGGGACUAUUCUUAAAGGUUAGUCUUUUCCCUUUUCCUUUUUUUCUUUUUUAUUUAAGGUAAUCAUAUUCUUUUUAAUUUUAAUUACAAUCAACUGAAAAUUUGAGGAUUGAUAGACUGUUGUUGUGACCCUGGUUGUUUCCGAACUUGACUAAAUGACUUUCAAUUGAUUUGAAAGUUUGAAUAAACUAAGUUUAAAUGAGAACAUUUUAAUUCUGGAAAUUUUGGAAUGAAUUGGGUUUAUAUUUGAUUUUGAAUGGAUUUCUCAAUAUGGUUGGUUGUUGUCCAAUUUUAUUAGAAAUUACAUAUGUACCAUGUUUGAUAUUGCAAACGUAUAGUCUAACAGAGUUAGAAUACGCUGAAAAUCGGAUAAACUACACUUCUAUUUGCAUACAUCUAAUCUGGAAAAUUUUAUUUUGAUUGAACUUGUAAUUUAUUUUUAAUGAUUUUUCAAACUCUGUUGUCUCUGCAGUAACUUCUUUUGACAGAACUGUUCAUUAAUCUUUGAUCCUAUCAAACACCAGCCUAAUGAUAUCGGAAUAGCCUCAAAUUUUAAUAUGUUGUUGACUUAUAUGUCCACUUAAAAUCUGGAAAGUAUCAUUAUGAUAUAUUUAGUAUUUUAAAUUUAAUAUACAUUCAAACACCUGCUGCUACUUUUACAGUUUCAUAAGCAAUUUUAACUUAUAUAGUUUAUCAUGUGAGAAGCAAAUGUAGAGUUGUCCAAAUGACUUGGAAAUUUGAUUUGUGGUGCAUGGACAUGUCUAAUUAUGUUUUGUAAGUUUCAUAACAUUCCAAAUUAAAUUAAAGAAAAUCUUAAAUUCAAGUUGUCAAUGUUUCCUAUUAAAUCUGAUUAGUGAUAAAUCUACUAACUUGCAGUACUUUUCAGGGAAAAAAAUGUGUCAACACUGUGAAUUGCAAUGGGAGAAGAAAGUACCAAAGGCAUAAAUCUUUUUUCAUUAUAUUUGGGACUAUUCUUAAAGGUUAGUCUUUUCCCUUUUCCUUUUUUUCUUUUUUAUUUAAGGUAAUCAUAUUCUUUUUAAUUUUAAUUACAAUCAAACCAAUUCAACAGCAAAUGAAGAUAACAUUUUUUAAAUGCAUUCAGUUUUUGACAAUAGCAAAAAGAAAAAGGAAAAAUGAUACUAGUUUAGGCUUUAGGAAAUUUGCAUAAUGAUUCUUGCAUUGCAGCUGCCUCUAUCUCGGUGCUCUCGGAGAAGUAAUCUUGCUUGAUUUUGCAUGAUAGUUGAUACAAGCCCGUCCUAGCCAUUGCAAAAUUGACACUAAAAAGGUUCCAAUUUUUAUAUUGUAGUUUGAAAAGUCUAUAAUGUUUGCUAUGCUGAUGCCCCAUUUGAAUGUUGGAGCCUAAAAAUGAACGGUUUUAGGACCAGCUGGGUGGUUCCAGAAAGCUAGGAGCUUGUUAGCUAUUCUUUUUAAUUGAGCUAAUUUAACUUAAAUAUUAGCCCGAUUAUUGAUUUCUAUGGUUUGCGAUUGAUUUGANNNNNNNNNNNNNNNNNNNNNNNNNNNNNNNNNNNNNNNNNNNNNNNNNNNNNNNNNNNNNNNNNNNNNNNNNNNNNNNNNNNNNNNNNNNNNNNNNNNNNNNNNNNNNNNNNNNNNNNNNNNNNNNNNNNNNNNNNNNNNNNNNNNNNNNNNNNNNNNNNNNNNNNNNNNNNNNNNNNNNNNNNNNNNNNNNNNNNNNNNNNNNNNNNNNNNNNNNNNNNNNNNNNNNNNNNNNNNNNNNNNNNNNNNNNNNNNNNNNNNNNNNNNNNNNNNNNNNNNNNNNNNNNNNNNNNNNNNNNNNNNNNNNNNNNNNNNNNNNNNNNNNNNNNNNNNNNNNNNNNNNNNNNNNNNNNNNNNNNNNNNNNNNNNNNNNNNNNNNNNNNNNNNNNNNNNNNNNNNNNNNNNNNNNNNNNNNNNNNNNNNNNNNNNNNNNNNNNNNNNNNNNNNNNNNNNNNNNNNNNNNNNNNNNNNNNNNNNNNNNNNNNNNNNNNNNNNNNNNNNNNNNNNNNNNNNNNNNNNNNNNNNNNNNNNNNNNNNNNNNNNNNNNNNNNNNNNNNNNNNNNNNNNNNNNNNNNNNNNNNNNNNNNNNNNNNNNNNNNNNNNNNNNNNNNNNNNNNNNNNNNNNNNNNNNNNNNNNNNNNNNNNNNNNNNNNNNNNNNNNNNNNNNNNNNNNNNNNNNNNNNNNNNNNNNNNNNNNNNNNNNNNNNNNNNNNNNNNNNNNNNNNNNNNNNNNNNNNNNNNNNNNNNNNNNNNNNNNNNNNNNNNNNNNNNNNNNNNNNNNNNNNNNNNNNNNNNNNNNNNNNNNNNNNNNNNNNNNNNNNNNNNNNNNNNNNNNNNNNNNNNNNNNNNNNNNNNNNNNNNNNNNNNNNNNNNNNNNNNNNNNNNNNNNNNNNNNNNNNNNNNNNNNNNNNNNNNNNNNNNNNNNNNNNNNNNNNNNNNNNNNNNNNNNNNNNNNNNNNNNNNNNNNNNNNNNNNNNNNNNNNNNNNNNNNNNNNNNNNNNNNNNNNNNNNNNNNNNNNNNNNNNNNNNNNNNNNNNNNNNNNNNNNNNNNNNNNNNNNNNNNNNNNNNNNNNNNNNNNNNNNNNNNNNNNNNNNNNNNNNNNNNNNNNNNNNNNNNNNNNNNNNNNNNNNNNNNNNNNNNNNNNNNNNNNNNNNNNNNNNNNNNNNNNNNNNNNNNNNNNNNNNNNNNNNNNNNNNNNNNNNNNNNNNNNNNNNNNNNNNNNNNNNNNNNNNNNNNNNNNNNNNNNNNNNNNNNNNNNNNNNNNNNNNNNNNNNNNNNNNNNNNNNNNNNNNNNNNNNNNNNNNNNNNNNNNNNNNNNNNNNNNNNNNGUUGGAGCCCAAAAAUGAAUGGUUUUAGGACCAGCCGGGUGGUUCCAGAAAGCUAGGAGCUUGUUAGCUAUUCUUUUUAAUUGAACUAAUUUAACUUAAAUAUUAGCCCGAUUAUUGAUUUCUAUGGUUUGCGAUUGAUUUGAGUUUGACAUUCUUGUUUUGUGUUGGUUUGAGUUUGACAUCCUAGUUUAAGACUUUGAAGGCUUCCAAGAAAUGAUUUUGGAUGAUGAGCAUAUGAGUAAUAGUUUGAAAAUUAAUUUACUGUAUCAAAUAUAUACUUAGUGUAGUAUAUUAAUUUUAAGAACUAUGGAUUAUUCCAUGAAUAUUCUAGUAAAUAGUUAUGUUAUAUAUGCAUGUCUUAAUAUAUAAUAAUUAUAUUUUGAAGUUUGUUUUUUUUCCCUUUCUAGGUUUAGGAAAAAUGUUUAAAGUGAUUUUGGGUUAUGAUGUCAACCAAGUUAAAGCAACAUUAUUUGUGAGUGGAAAUAUAUAAUAAUUAUAUUUUUAUUCUACUUUUUUUUUUCUUAAAGUUUUAUAAUUAGGCAAAAUUAAUGAAUACUUAAUUACAAUUUAGGGUGAUAUUCUUUAAAUGGUUCACAUGAAUAGAUUUAAGUAGUAUAAUAAAUCUCAUACUCACUUUAUAAAGGCUUAACUAAGUUUGCAAAUAUUAUUUCUUUUAGUAGUAAUAAUUUUGGAUCGAACUCUCAAAUUAUUGAAAUAUUUUAUGUCCAAACUUUAUUAUGCCUAAUAUAAAUAUGGAGAUUCAUAGUUAUUUUAUGUCCAGUUUAAGGAAACUGCAGUUUAAGGACUUAUUUUUUGCCUUGUUAAAUAAGCUUUUAGAAUGAAUAAAUUGAGGAAAUGAGUGGUGAUUUAUUUAUAAUAGAGCAUUUGUGAUAGCUUUUAACUAUGCACAAAAAUCAUUUGGUAUAUGUAGAUAAAGUAACAUGCUUGUGCUGAAAGUAGAUAUUAUAUUGAAAACUUCUUGUCUGCUAUAGUUUGCUAUAUAUAUAACCUUUACUAAAAGAGGAUAAUUGAGUUUAUUUAUAAAUAGCUUAUGAAUAUUUUUUUCUUUCGAACAAAAUAAUUUUAUUUCUGUUAAUUGUUGUUUCUCUAAUGGCUGGAUAUUGGCAGCUAAUUUUUUUUUUCUUUUCCAUGUAUUCAUAUGCAGAUUUGAUCAAUGUGUUUGAAGUGUUUAUUCCUCAACUUCACUUAUAUCCUAACCCAUACAGUCUAUUGAAUGGAGAAGCUGCUGGUGUGAUAACGCAAUUAUACUACUCAUAUUCAAAGAGUGAAAGGCAGUCAUCCUUCUCAAUUUAGCUUCUAGAUUUAUUAAAUUUAGCCACAAGUAGUAGGCAUUUGAUUGGAUGGUAGAAAUUGUUAUGUAUUGAAUUUGGAUUAUUUAGUUAUGAGAGUAGGAUAUCUCAUAUUUUUGCUAUUGAAGUUGAAUUUGUAAUAUAUACUAAUAAUAUUUAAAUGUGAAAUGAAAGAUUUUGUGAUAUAAAUCAAUUUCUUUUUGUUAUUUUGUGGUGCCUUUUAAUUUUACCAACAAAUCAAUAGGCAAUUAUCCAAUUCAAUUUUUUAUUUUUUAAAAUAAAUUAACUAGUGAUGCCAUGGUAACAGUAAUCAUAGACACUAAUAAAAUAUCAAUAACUACUAAUACUAUGGUGUCAUAAUAUCGGUGAUACUUUAGUAAUAGUAAUCACUGACACCACUUACAAGUGUCACUAUUUUUCUGACUCCCAGAUUACUGACACAAUUAACAAGUGUCAGUGAAAGUAAUUUCUGACACUAUUCUAAAAUCAGUAAAGACCAUUUUUCUAGUAGUGUUUGGGCACGAUUUGGCCCUACUGAGUGCGAAGAUUAUGAUGAGGCGUUGUCCAGGGUUAAGCAGACAGGGUCACUACGUGAUUAUCAGAGGGAAUUCGAAAGGCUUGGGAACCGGGUACGAGACUGGACGCAAAAGGCCUUGGUCGGGACCUUUAUGGGAGGAUUGAAGCCGGAAAUCUCAGAGGAAAUUCGGAUGUUUCGGCCCAAAACUUUAAAAGAAGUUAUAAGCCUCGCACGUAUGAAGGAUGAUCAAUUGACGCGACAAAGGAAGUUGCUGCAACCACAGUACCUCAACCGUACACCACCAGCACCAACAAACAAUACCCAUGCCCAACCAACGAGACCCAUCAAACGGCUGACUUGGGACGAAAUGCAGCGACAUCGAGCAAUGGGACUUUGCUUCAAUUGCAACGAUCGAUUUACAGCAGGUCAUAAGUGCACCCAACCUCAGCUAUUGCUCCUUGAAAGUGAGACAACGAAUGAUGAAACUACAUAUGAGGGAAUUCCUGAAGUCUUAUGCACAGAACCGGACACUAGAGAGCCAACCGAUCCAAAAAUCACUUUCUAUGCCCUCACUGGAUGGGCAACCCCAAGAACCAUGCGGGUCACGGCAAAUGUAGGACCAUAUGAGAUUAUGGUUCUGAUCGAUAACGGUUCAACUCACAAUUUCAUCAGCUCGCGAAUGACCAACAUGUUACGGCUGCCAAUCAUUCCCACAACAGGAUUUUCGGUGCGAGUGGCAAACGGAGAAACGCUAUCAUGCGAGGGAAAAUUCGAACGGGUUCAGGUAUUAUUACAAGAAGUUCCAUUCACUUUGACUCUUUAUUCACUUCCAAUUACAGGGCUGGAUAUGGUGCUGGGAGUCCAGUGGCUUGAGAUGCUAGGCUCAGUGGUUUGCAACUGGAAACAACUUACCAUGGAUUUCACUUGGGAGAACAAAAGUUGCCGGUUACAAGGCAUCGGGCCUCAAUCAAUCCAAACGGCAUCCUUGACCGAAAUUACCAAAGAGCUGAGACAACAGCAGUCCGAUUUUGCCAUUUGUUUCCAUGUGAAUGUAGAAGACUCUCUCAACACAACAACUCCAGAUAUGUAAGACUUGUUAAAGGAAUACAACACUUUAUUUCAAGAGCCAACAAAACUGCCACCUAGACGAGAAAUCGACCAUAACAUCACAUUGAAAGAGGGAACUGAGCCAGUCAACGUACGGCCAUACCGCUACGCUUAUUUCUAGAAAGCCGAAAUUGAAAAACAAGUCCAGGAGAUGCUGAAUUCGGGACUCAUUCGGCCUAGUACCAGCCCUUUUUCAUCACCAGUACUACUUGUAAAAAAAAAAAAUGGAAGUUGGCGAUUUUGCACUGACUAUCGGUCUCUCAAUAACGCCACUGUUAAAGACCGAUUUCCAAUCCCUACAGUCGAUGACAUGUACUUCACUAAACUGGACCUAAGGGCCGGAUACCAUCAAGUACGUGUAAACCCAGCCGACAUACACAAAACGGCUUUCCGCACACACAACAGACAUUACGAAUACUUAGUAAUGCCGUUUGGCUUAUGCAACGCACCAUUGACAUUCCAGGCCAUCAUGAAUUCUAUCUUCCGUCCCUAUCUCAGGAAAUUUAUCCUUGUUUUCUUUGACGAUAUACUGAUAUACAGCCCCUCUUGGCGUAGCCACCUUACUCGUGUUAAGCAGGCAAUGGAGGUUCUUAAACAUCAUCAAUUUUUCCUUAAAGUAAGUAAGUGCACUUUUGGCCAACAAGAACUCGAGUACCUCGGCCACAUAAUUACCAGCCACGGGUAAACGUAGAUGAGACAAAAAUUGCGGCCAUGGUCUCCUGGCCUCAACCGAAGAACAUCUCAGAGCUACGGGGAUUCCUUGGCCUUACGGGUUACUACAUAAAGUUCGUCCAAGGAUAUGGAGUUUUAGCUCGACCACUCACGAAUCUUCUCAAAAAAGGGUAGUUUGAAUGGACUGCAGAAGCGGACAAAGCUUUUAUCAAUUUAAAAAAGGCAAUGACAAGUACACCUACAUUAGCCAUGCCUAAUUUUAAUGAAACUUUUGUUAUUGUGACAGAUGCAUCCGGUGACGGCAUCGGCGCAAUACUCCAGCAACAAGGGUAGCCCAUCGCUUUUAUGAGUCGUGCCUUGGGAGUCACAAAAAAAUCUUAGUCCACAUACGCAAAAGAGAUGUUGGCGAUUAUAGAAGCUAUCCGUGUAUGGCGACCUUAUCUGCUGGGACGAAAGUUUAUCAUCCAAACCGAUCAACGCAGCCUUAAGUACCUUUUGGAGCAGAAAAUUACGACACCCGAACAGCAACAAUGGCUGGCCAAAUUGAUGGGGUUUGAAUAUAAAAUCCAAUAUAGACUCGGCCGUGAGAAUGUUGCCGCUGACGCCCUUUCACGACGACCUCACAAUUAUGCUCUUAACAGUUUAUUUGUGGCACAGGUAUCUAUUUGGAACGAAAUAAAAACGGCUGCCCAAGAUGAUGAUUACAUGCAGCAAAUUACACAUCAGGCCCUGACUCAACCUGCUGGCCCUUAUUUCAUGCGUAACAGGCUGAUUUUCUUCAAGGGCCGAGUUGUAGUUCCUCUUCGACUCCGUCAAUCAUUACUUUUUGAAGCCCACGACACUAAGAUGGGAGGUCAUUAAGGAGUUCUACGUACUUACAAACGUUUGAAACAACAAUUCUAUUGGCCUUCAAUAUUUCAAACGGUUCAUAACUAUGUGGGUAAAUGCGAGAUUUGUCAAAAAACGAAAGCAUCAACUCUUAAGCCUGCGGGUCUCCUCCAGCCCUUGCAAAUUCCUUGCCAAUUGUGGGAUGAUAUCACGCUCGACUUCGUUGAAGGGCUGCCAAACUCACACGGUAAAAAUUCUAUUCUAGUGGUGGUGGAUCGGCUCAGCAAGAGUGCACACUUUAUGGCCUUGACUCACCCAUUCACAGCAAAAACAGUGGCUGAGAAGUUUAUUGAUGGAGUGGUAAAAUUACAUGGCAUGCCGAAAUCAAUAAUCAGUGAUCGAGACCCUAUUUUUAUUAGCAAGUUUUGGAAGGAGUUUUUUCAUAUGUCAGGUACACAACUCAAGAUGAGUUCUGCGUACCAUCCGCAAACCGACGGUCAGACGAAAGUUAUUAAUAGAUGUCUUGAACAAUACCUACGAAGCUUUGUUCACCAAUGGCCAAAGCAAUGGAACUCUUACCUACCUUGGGCAGAAUACUGGUACAACACAACGUACCAUGAGUCCACAGGUAUGACUCCUUUUUUGGCUUUGUAUGGGCGACAUCCACCGGUAGUACUAAUGUAUCAUGUGGGAUCUUCUCCAGUGCACGAGGUAGAUCAAGCUUUGUUGUCUAGGGAUGAGUUGCUGCGACAACUAAAACAGAAUUUGGAAAUGGCAACCAAUCGCAUGAAACAAUUUGCGGAUACAAAAUGGCGCGACGUGGAGUUUAAGGAGGGUGACAUGGUAUUCCUAAGACUUCCCCCGUAUAGGCAGACUACUGUAUUCCGUCGUGCUCAUCAAAAGUUGGCCAGCAAAUACUUUGGGCCAUAUCCAAUUCUGCAAAGAGUGGGUCAAGUGGCUUAUGAGCUUAAACUACCGACGGGAUCUCGAGUGCAUCCGGUAUUCCAUGUGUCCUUACUCAAAAAAUAUGUUGGUGUGAUGCCUCAAUUCAGCGCAGAUCUUCCAUAUGUCGAUGAUGACGGAGUACUCGUUUUGGAACCGGACAAAAUUAUUGAUGUUCGUUGGCUUAAAAGAGGUGGCAAGUUGGUGGAACAAAGUCUUGUCCGUUGGAAACGCCUUCCACAUGAGGAUGCAACAUGGGAAGAUUCAGAGUUCCUAGCAAAGCAAUUCCCUCACCUGAUCCUUGAGGACAAGGGUCCUCUUCGUGGAGGCGGUAUUGAUACGCCGCGGAGGUCGUCAAGGAUUCCAAAGCCUAGCAACAAGUAUGCUGGGUACGUUUGAAUUAUGCAUGGAUGCUUGGAAGUCGAACGGUCACAUGGCUCAAGACUCAUGCAUACGUUACAUGCAACAUGCAGCACGUUGGAAGAAUGGUCGUUGGAGCAGUCUACAGGGAUCAUGGGUUGAUUCGGUCAACAUGGGAUCACUUGCUGAUUUAAUGGAGAUUUAUUAUUUGGUUUAAUUCAUAUUCGGUUGUUUUGUUAAGCUAAAAGAAUAAGUAAAGUUGUUAGCUUAGUACUUGCCUACAAUCUCGAGUGAUAGUUAGAUUGUUUGGCUAAGUUAUUUCAAGUAUAAAUAAGCUCCAACAGACUUGAAUAAAGGCAUUGACUAUUAUCCAAAAAAUCAAAUAUCUUGUGGUCUUAUUUCUCACCCUGAGUAGAAAUAUAUUCAAUCACUUACGCUUUGACUGGGACCGCUAUCAGUCUCCGAAACUUGCAUUCUUGAGAGACCUCGGAAUGCCCGAGGCCUAUUUUGCACUGAUUUUAUCAUGUUAUCCCCCAAUUGUCCUCCAAAGACAGGAUAAGUUCUAUGGAAAUGUUAAGAAGGUCAUCAAAAUGGGUUUUGAUCCUCAAAAAUGUGAAUUUGUCCAUGCAAUGCAGGUAUUUUCUUCAAUUGGUCAAUCAACUUUGGAGUGCAAAUUGGAUGUCUUGAGGAGGUGGGGUUGGUCUGAUGAGGACAUUAGGUUGGCAUUUAGAAAGUGUCCCAUUUAUAUGAGUGCAUCUAAGACAAAAUUAGGCAGCGUAUUCAAUUUUUUGGUAAACAAGAUGGGUUGGCAGCCUUCAGCUAUUGCCCAUGUUCCAAGUGCUUUUAUGUAUAGUUUGGAGAGGAGGAUCAUCCCCCGUUGUUCAGUUAUAAGAGUUUUGCUUUCAAAGGGCUUGAUCAAUGAAGAAAAUAAAAUCUGUUUA